AAGUGAAAAUGGUGGAUGCAACUACUUCAGAUGGUGCACUGAUUGAGGAAUUGAAGAAAGUGUUAGCUGUGAGGUGUUGGAAGCAAAUGAUGAAAGGUUGGUGAAGAGUUUUGAAAAUGAAAGGGAUAAGAAGUUAGCUUCUUUGCAGACAGCUGUGAUAGGUGUUCAAAGUUGGAUGAAAAUUUUGGUUGGGGCUGUUAGUGUUGUAUGUGCACUGAACAUCGUUAUCAUUGCAAUGUUGAUGGGUAGGGCUUGAUAAGUUAGUUGUGUUUUGGUUUUAGUUGUAUAAUUUUCAGAUGUUUAAUGAAGAUGUAUUAAGUUUGCCUUGUAUCAGCCCUGUAUCAGUUUGUAUUAUGUUUAAUGAAAUGAUAGUUUGCAGUUUAUCGACCCUAUAUCAGUUUCCAUUAAGUUUGCCCUGUAUCAGUAUGGCUUGAGUUAAAUUUGUUUGGUUUCAUGUGUGGGACCUGAAUAGCAUAACAUGAUUUGGAAACAAUGACUAUAAAUAAAGGCUCCAUCAAUUGGACCUGAAUAAACAUACACAAGGCAGGACCUGAAUAAACAAUUUCAUUCCCCAUUCUUGGGACCUGAAUAAAGAUUUGUAUAUUAAAGCACUGAUAAAAUAAAGCACAUGUCUGUAACCAAAAAGUACCGAUCCAUUGCACAUGUUUGUAACCAUCACAUACUGAAAUAUAAAGUGAUAAACAUUAGUCUAUUACAAACCGAUCCAUUACACCAAAAAGUACUGAUCCAUUAGUCUAUUACAAACUGAAACAUAAAGUGAUAAACAUUGACUACAACUAAAACAUAUAAUAUUCUUCAGCUCUGAACUGGUUGUUCUCCAUGUGGUUGAUCCUCAGCCAAUGAAGUGGGUUGUUGUCAAUCUUGCUGUGCUUGGUUUCUUUGCGGACAAUUUUUCUUGUUGUGACCAGUUUCCCUACACAUGCCACAUCUCUUGAGUAAUCCUCCUUUUGACAUUCUGGUGUUACUUUUCUACAACUCCCAUUGCUCUAACCUCCUUUUCUUCUUUGGACGUCUAGGCAUCUGUCUUUUUGAUGGAGGCAUGACAUCUAGAUAUUCGGUUACCUCCCAGAGAUUGUUUCCAUUAAUGGGAAAAAUAACAGAAGAAUAAAUUUCCUCGUAGGCUGACUUUGUAAAACAUGCAGGUAUGAAUUGUUGUGCAUCUAUGUUGAGUAACUUCAUUACAGCCAAUGCAUGUGCACAAGGUAUUCCCGAGAUGCUCCAUUUCCUACAUGAGCAUGAAUAUUGAUCUAUAUCCACCACAAAGUUGUCUCCAGUUUGGGACACAUGUCGGACUUCAAACAGUUUAUGUGUAGACCAACUGUGAAGAUAAGGAACCAUUAGUUAUAUAACAGCUUGUAUCACAUAACGAAAGAAAAACACUUAAUUCCUAGAUACCUGGGAACCCAAUGCUUUGUUAGUAGUGACUCCUUUUGUAGUCUACUCAGUAUUUUAGGGCAAAUUGAUGACUUAAAUGAGGCUGCCCUUGUCCUAUUAGUCGCCCAUCUCUUCAUCAUGUAUAGCCUGAUUUCCUCCAACAUUGUAAUAAUAGGUUUUGUCCUUGUAUUGACCAAAACACUAUUGAAUGCUUCUGACAUAUUAUUCACCAAAGUAUCAGAUUUAGCUGUGGUUGUGAACCUUGAUCUAGACCAAAACCUACAAUAAUCAUGUAUGAAUUAUUAUUUACUCAAGUUAAGAACCUGUUACAUAAUUUACAUGAAAAACACAAGUUAAAAGGGAAUAAAGGGAACCAUUUACCUUGGAGGAAGAGACAUGAGGUGUCGAAACGCAUCUUCAUUCACCUCUUUGAUACUUCUCAUGAUAUUCUCCCAUUGUUGUGGGUGAGUAGCUAAAGCUGCCCUCCACAUUAGCUUUUUCAGAUUCUUUCUAGGAAAUUUCUUCCUGAAGUUGGCAUAUAAAUGCCUUACACAAAAUCUUUGUGCAAUUGCAGGAACAACAUCUUGUACAGCUUGUCUUAGACCCUGUCAAUCAGUGAAAAAAGAAUUAGAUGGUGAAUUCCAUUUAUAUAACAGAAUUGACAAAAACUGUAUUAAAGGUACCUUCUGUUGAUCUGACAUGAUUGUAAGACCAGAACACACAUCUGGACCACCUAAGUCUUCAAUCAACAACUCCAGAAACCAUGUCCAAGUGUCCUUGUUCACAACUUCUAUUAUUGCAUAUGCUAGUGGCAACAUUUGGUCGUUCGCAUCUCGACCCACAACAGUUAGUAGCUCACCAUGGUGUCUGCCUCUUAAAAAGGCUCCAUCAAGGCCAAUGAUUGGCCUGCAUGAUCCAAAGCUAUCUUUACAUGCCUUUAGGCAUGCAUAAAACCUCCUAAAGAUUGGUUUGCCAUUAACUGGAUCAACUUUGACCUUGAUUGUGGACCCAGGGUUUCUUGCUAAUAACUCGUGUGCAUAAUCAUAAAUUCUAUUAUAUUGCUUAAUGAAGGACCCUACCACUUCAUCUGAUGCAUGGGCUCUGGCCCUGUAAGCCAUAUUCUUGGAUAUUGCUAUGUUCCAUUUCCUACUAAAUUUAUCUCUAAUAUCAACGCCCUUUACAUUAGGAUUCUCUCUUAUUGUUUUUUGCAAUUUUCUACUAAGCCAUCUUGCAUUGAAUAGCCGCAACUUGUGUUCCCUACUGCAUGUAUGGCUGUCAACCAUAGUCCUUGGUUGCCAUGACUUCACUGCAUCCAUGAAAGCAAAAUAUGCCACCCAUGGACAUUCUCCUUUUGAUCCCAAACAUUUAACACUUACUUUUUUUCUAUCAUUUUUAACAAUAUUUAAAUUUUUUCCAUUCUCUACUCCAUAAGAUUUGAUAGCAUCAAGAAUAUCAAUUUUAUCCCCAAAAUAUGUACCCACCUCUCACUUGAAAUCAACCAUUUCUUUUGGCAUACUAAAGGUAGAAAAAUCACCAUACCCCUCUUCAUCUUCACUUUCUUCAUCACUUAUUAGAGGAGAAGUCAAGUCCUCAAAUUCCCAUUCAUCAUUAAACCAACUCGAAUCAUCAAUCUCAUCUUCUUCACUAUCUGACUCAGAUUCAGGUAAAAAAGGUUCUACCUCAACCUCCAUGUCAGUCUCAUUAUCAGGUAAAUCACACUGCACAUUUAUGUUUACUAGCCCAUCAUCAUUAUUCAUCUCACCAUCAUCACCAUCACGGACUUCUACUUCUAUAUCGUCCAAGUCUUCUACAUCUAAGUCUUCUACUUCUAUUCUGUAAGCCUCCCCAUUUAACCUAUCACCCUCUUCGUGCACUUCCUCAACCACAACUUCCUCAACAUGCACUUCAGAUGCUUCCUCAACCACAACCUCCUGAACCAUAACCUCCUCAACCACAACCUCCUCAACCACUACCUCCUCAUCCAAAGCUUCCUCAACCACAACUUCUUCACCAUUACGUUCCUCAACCUCAGGUUCCUUUCCCUGCACGUCUAAGUCUUUUGUCCUCUCAGCAUCACCUCCCUCAACCUCAGCUUCUAUCAUCUCACACUCAUUUACCUCAGGUGCAACUUUUGCACCCUCACCAAACUCAUUAACCUGAGGAACAUCUUCGUCACCUCCUUCAUCAACGUUGUAUUCAAUCAUUUGAAUCACUUCAGCUUCAGACACAUUGUGCACAACAUAUAAAUGAACUUGUCCAUUUAAGGUAGCUAAAUUGACCAUGCGCAUGGCACCUACGUCAUCACACAAUGGUUCUAGCCUAUCAUCCAAAACAGGACCACAUCCAACAGAAAACCACAAUUCCUUAAAACCAUCAUACCCUAAACUUUUUACUACACUCACUACAACAAAAUAUGACCACACGUCAGGAUCAAAAAGCAUGGUAUCAAUGUGUCCUUCAUACUUCGGGCACCCCUCUUUGAUGAACUUACCCCCAUGGUGAAUAACAACCUCCAUAUCGCCCAUCACACACAACAAUAUUCUACACCAACAAAUAAGCCUAAAACGACAAAAUACACCGCUUAUAAAACUGAUAAUGACACAACAAAAGAAAUGUAACUAUGGGAACAUGGGGACAUGGGGGACCACAACGCAUUAUGAAAACAACAUAUCUUCAGACAACUCCAACCCCACAAUGUACAAAGCAUCCCCACAUAACAAGAUAGACAUCACAAUAUUAAAAUCGUACUAACCUUCCACCAAUAUUAAAAUCGUCCCCUCGAACAGCUUCAACCACUUGACGCAAAGUUGUAUCUGACUUUGCGAUUGACUUCGAAACUCCAAUUACAAAGCUUGAAUGCCCUAAUGGACUCUAUAUCCUCUCUCGCGAUUGACUUCCGAUGCACUCUCCUCUGCCAAUUUCGCUCCAAAUUGAAUCCCAAUUUCACUUUAAUUAAACCCUAAAUCCCUAAUCUGAUUUAACAAACAAUUUUAAUUUCUAAUUUUUGUAAAAAGCCAUGUUUCAUCAGAUGAAUGACACGUUUCAUGACCACAAAGGCCACCUGUGCAUAAGUUAACACCUCAUCCACUGUGCUGGCAAAAUACUUGACAAUGUUAACUUUUUUAAACGGAAAGGGUCAAUUUCAUUCAAAUUGACACUUUUGAGGACCAAAUUGGGAGUUUUAAUAAAAGAGGAACGAAAUUGGAAAAGCACCCCAUAAAUAGGGACGAUUUAAAGGUUUAAACCUAAAAUUUACACAUAGUAGUAAAUAUAAAAAGCGAGUAAUAUGGCUUCGUUUAAUGUGCUUCAAAAAUUGCAUAUAUUAAAGUUUUACGACUAAAUUCAAGACAUUACUAUUAAAAUAAAGAACUUCAAGCUCCUCUAAUACUUAAAAUAAAAAACGUAUCUUAAAAUUUAUAAUUAAUCUUGCGAAAUUCAAAUUUUAAUUGAUAAACAUAGAUAAUCUAAAAAUUAAGGUAAAUUAUCAAUAUAUGUGAAAAGAUAAUAAAAAAUAUGAAAAAUAAAAUAUUGUCAUCCUUGUCCAUAAUUUAUAAUAAAUAUUAAAUUCGAAAAUACUUUAAAUAAUACACAUAUUUAUUUAAAUUCAAUAACUAAAUUGAAAAUAACAUAUUUUGACUUCAAACUUUUAUCAUAUAUUAUUCAUAUCUUAUUCACUUAUAAACAAUUUGUCAUGUGAAGUUAAACACUGAGUUUAACCUAAAUCUCAUUACUUUUUAACAUAUAUCAAAUUACAAAAUUGAAUAAUUUUUUCACAUUCAAAUCCUUUUUAUAAUUACACUACGUUUUAUAGAUUACAAUAACCAUAUUAGACACUUUUAAAGAAAAAAUUAGUCAUUUAUAUAUAUAUAUAUAUAUAUAUAUAUAUAUAUAUAUAUAUAACAUGACUGACUCAAAUAAAUACUAAAUGUUUAUGAUUAUCAUUUCUAUAGAACUCGUCUAUUGCAAUGUGUGGCUUCAAAAUAAUAAACAGUGAAAUGGCAUUAAAUCAGGUCAUGUAUGAGCAAUUAAAUAUCCCAUAUGUUGUUGUAUAUUCAGUUUAAAGUUAGUGAUAUGUGUAAAAGUCCAAGUAAAAUAAUUGAAAUGACUUUACCUGUAACCGUCACUAAUAUAAGGAAUUUGCUAAUAAAAAAAAUGGUUUUCUCCAAUAAAUUUUGGGCAUUAGAAAGAAGCUCUCACUGUUUGACAUUAGUAUGGAGAACUGUUCUGAACAUGUUUGAAUUUUGCAUCUGUUGAUGCAGUCAAUCAGUCUUGUAGAGUCAGAUGAAUUGACCCUCAGUUCAACUCCAUAUUUUCCUUUCCUUACCUAUCAUCAUGGAAGAUUCGUUGCAUUAAAAAGUUCUGCUCCGGGUGAUAUGGGUUCUAAUUCCUGAGUUCCAAGGUCAUACGACCCUCUGUUUAUGCUCAUCUCACUUAACUUUUUCACCAACCAUGCACCAAACAUUAUUCUCAUCUGAUAAAAAAUAUUAUUAUAUUUUAAACCUACUAGAAUGAGUACAGAAACCGAAUUCGUCCCAUUUGGAAAUUAUUCUGGUCUUGUUAAUACUUGUCUCGUUCCUUAAACAUUUCAUUGAACUGAACCACAGUGCUAAGUGUGAUCCACAAAUCCAAAUUCAUAUAAAUUAUAUUUAAAACAUUUCCUAGCAACAUAAUACUUUUAGGAGUAGUAUCUUCUACAGUGGCUUCGUGAUCAACUGAAGGUAAGGGAAAAAUAUUAUGGCAAAAAGUUGGAGAAUAGGCAAAUAUUAUGACAAAAAAUUGGAGAAUAGGCAAAUAUUUUGGCAAAAAGUUGGAGAAAAAUAUUUGGGGGGCCAAAUAUGACGAGUACAAAUUAGCUGCUUAGUCUAGCAGAAUCCACGCACAGGUAGCUAGCAUGUGAUUGAAGGGAAGAGUGGACAGCAUGAACAGUUUCUUCAGUAACCCCAAAGAAAUAUAAUUAUAAUCUUACUUUACCACUAUUGAUUACUAGAUUCAUGUUAAAAGGGAAUUUUGGAAGGCAGCCAAAUUGUUCCAUGGCAAUGUUGGGAGGGGAGACAUGAUUAAUUCAUUAUGGCACACACAUCUUCUGAGUAGGCUAAACAAAUUUAAAUGCCGUUGAGCUUAUUGAAGGACCUGGGCCCCCAGGUGGAUUCAUGUCUAGUGGAUUAUUUAUUGGCUACUUUUUUGAAAAUUUUCUACCUAAUCCAGUGGCAACAUAUAAAAGCUAUUGAGAUCUCAAUGGUGGGAGUGGGGCAUGAGUAAGAAAACUCGGGGUGCACCUAACAAGAGGAUGGUAGAAAGGCCUAAUCGAAAAAGAGACUUAUAUAGAAGCAACCAAAAAGAAAAUGGAACAUCUCUUGUAGGGGUUUACAUGGGUUCCAUUCCUACUUUAUAAUAUUUUACUAACUUAUAAACAUGUCAAUAUCAAAUAAUCUCGAUCUACUUUAUGUCCACAUCUUGUCGCAUAUAGAUUUCCAAACAUCUCUUUCCCCAACUCAAACCUCAAAUAAUCUCACCAUACCAUAAUAAUUAUAAGGCUACAUCUAAAAAGACCAUUUAGACCCCAAAGAAAACCGCAAUACUCUUCCGUCACAUGCAAUUUGCACACCAAACCAAAAACUGGAGACGCAGAAGAUGCAAACAAAAACAUGGGCAUCUUUCAAUUGUGGUGUGAUGCGGAAGGCGCCGAGAUGUGUUCACACAGUUACUAUGGGGCCUGAACCAACUAACAGGCUCCCCACACCACGUGGUUUCUGUAACCAAUGCAAAUCCAUGGUGUACGAGAGAUAGUCAGCACUAAGGAUAGCAAUUGGUAUCGCCACAAUAAUGUCACCGGCCUAGCCAUGAUUUUAAGGAUAGUUAAAUAAAAAGAUUAAGAAAAGGUCAGAGUGGAAAAAUAUAUUAAUAAACUCCAGUCACUGCACAGCAACUGUGUAAAUAGUAAAAUGCUGCGAGUACCAGUACAUGGCUUCUUCUUAGUAUAUUGUACAUGAUAGUUUUCUCAGAGCAUCGUCAUCAUCCUCGUCACAAGAACCCUCUUGGUGUUUUACUUCACUUCUAACCAUCCUCAUUCACACUAAGAUGGGAUGAGGCUAUCUUAAUUCUUCCAAGCUAAAACUAAGCUAAACCAUUCCAAAAUGAAGAAACAAAUAAUAAUGAUAAUAGUGGUAGUGAGCUGUACAAUUUCAGGUAAACCAACCUCGAAGGAAAGAGGAAAUUGAAUUUACCUGGAAGAAACAGGGUUUAGGGCUCUGGCGAAGCCAUUCAUGGCGCCAUAACCCUUAGAACUAAAUCCCAAACACCCAAGCAGACCUUGCCUAUAGGGCAGAAAGGUCUUUUUCCUCAACUCUUCAGCUUGGGCCCUGUUUGCUUUAUAAUGCAACUCGUGUGGUGAAGGUGGCACGCGCCUCUUCCCAACACCGUUGGUGGGCUUCCCGCUCAUUCUCCGGGCCCAAGCCUGAGAGCUACUUCCUUUGGACUUGUGCGUGGCUUCAGAAGAAGAGGGCCCGUUCUUGGUGUUUGUUGGGACAUUGAGAGUUUGAGCAGUGGAAGUGGUGAGUUUCUUAUCUUUGGCGGUUGGGGAGAAGGAAAUGCUGGACCAGAACUUGUUGUUACUUCUUCCUUCACUUUUGCUUCUGAGAAAGUCCUUUAAGAAAACCCACCUCUUCGAACUUCUCCCAGCCGAAGAAGACCGAGAGGACGAAGCCGAACCUGAUACCGAAGGAGUUGUCUCCAAACCUAAACUCAAACCAUCCUCUGUGUUCUCCCUUUGCUUCUCAGCUUCCAAGGAACUAACUUCCAUUUGCUUCCCGGAGCUCACGUUAUUGUCAUGAUCCCCGCCAACAAUAUGAUCAUCUUCGUUCUCUGCCCACUCCAAAGGCGUGUUGCUUCGGAGAGGAGACAUGGAUCUGGUUCUCCUCCUAACAGACUUGUCCCGCAACCUCAGAUCUCUGCCUCGGACCACACUAACGCUAACAGCCUCGGCCUCCUCUUCCUCCUCUUCACCUUCCAGAUCCAGUAAAGGAGCAAGGACUUGGGGGCGUUCAAGGUGGCUUGAGAGCUUCAUGGGACGGAUCUGACCAUUCAGGAACAACUCGUCAGCAGAACUCAUGGAACCUGAACCGGCAGAACCCGCUGAACCGAACCGGGCGGAGAAUUCAAACUCGUAACCCAUUGGUGCGGAAGAAGGACUCUUGUCAUAGGAAGAGACAGCGGUUAUGGCGAAGUGCAUUGGACUGGCAGGAGCGCUGUAGAAGAAGCCUGGGUGCGGCCCUCGGCCGGGACUUGAAGGGGCACUGAUGUAAGGCGUGGAACAGGUGCUGUCAAAGUCUUCAUAGAGCGGUUCGCCAUUGGUGGAGUUGGAAGGUGGUUGAGGGUUAAGCUUCUGUGCAUUAUAGGUGGUGGCUGAUUGAAGCUGGUCCAUUAUUAUUGUUGUUUGAGGAAGAGAAAGAAGAAGAAAUAAAAGAGUGGGUGUAGAUAUGUUUGUGUGUGACUCCCUAAUACCUCACCUGACUCACUCAGUGCACACACAAAACAAUCAAUGAAUAAAUAAAUGUUUUACUUGUUAUACUCUACGCAUUCUAUUAUUGCACCUUUUUGCCCUUUCUCUUUCAUUUUAUAUCCUUAACUGCCAUUCAUUAUUCUUUCCUAUUUCCUUGUUCCAGAAGAAAUAAAAAGGUAAAUCAAUACAUACUUAAUAUUUGGUUAAUUCAGAUAUACAUGUUGUUAAUUAUGUCAUUUGCAUUGUAAAAAUAAAUUAAAACCCUUGUACUUACUUGAUAAGUUUAAUUAAAAUGUACAAUUUAUUAUUGAUAAAGUAUGAUCAAAUCUGUUCAUCUUUAUACAAUUCAUUUUAGAAAUUUAUAAAGCCCAAAUUUGUACGCAAAAAUAUAUAUGAAAACUUAUCUCUUAAUAAAUAAUAUACUGUAUUCAAUUUUCUGCCUCAUUAUACAUAUAUAUAUAUAUAUAUAUAUAUAUAUAUAUAUAUAUAUAUAUAUAUAUAUAUAUAUAUAUAUAUAUAUAUAUAUAUAUAUAUAUAUAUAUAUAUAUUAGUACUUAUUUCAAAUUAAGAAGUUUUCCUGAUCUAAUCAAAUAGUAUUUUCGGUUUAUCCUUAUUUUUGUUGAAAAAAAUAAAAUUAAAAAGAUGGAGAAAAUAUAUAAAGAUUGAAAAGUUUGUAAAAAAAUAUAGUAAAAAUUAAUUAAAUAUAUAUUUCUUAUUGAUUUUAUUUAUUAGGAGAAUUUUCUUAAUAAACAUAUAAAAAAGUUUUUAGUUACUAUGCUACUAAUAAAAAAAUAUAUCAAAAUAGAAUAAAACUAUCAAUAUUUGCAGUUUUACAAUUUAAAUCAAUAAUUUAAAAAACUAAAAAAUUAACUAUUCUUUCUGAACAUGGAAUUAGACUUUGAUUAGAUUGUAUUUCUCACAUUCAUUAAAUAAGAUUACAGUUUGUCUUUUAGUUUUGUUUGAUGGAUGACCUUGUUCUGGGUUUUUUUUUUCUUGUGUUUAUACUAUUCAGAAUUUUAAAAGGUUUGGAAAACUAUCUUGCUAAACUGAUAAAGAAAUAUUUCAUAUUUUUUUAAGUUAUAAAGUACUUUAAUUUUAUUAAAAUAUUAUAUACUUAUAUUGUCCAACCAAGUAGAUUAUGAUUCAAAACUUGAUAAUAUCAUUUUAAAUUUGAAUAUAUAUUUUAGAAAUGAAAUAUUAGAAAGUAUUUUAUUGCAUAAUUUAUCACAAUUCUAUCAAAAAAAUAUAAAAUGCUUUAUCAAAAAUUAUAUUUUAGCUUUUUUAAUUAAAAAUAUCAUUAAGUAAUGUACUUUUAAUUUUUAACUUGUUAUAUACUAUAUGAAAGCUCAUGCACAAAUUACAUAAAUUUUCAGGUAAACUUGUUUUUACCAUUCUCAAUAUUCUAAGCUUAAUUUUGUUCUUACAUGUAUUUUAAGCAUUCAUUCACCCCUUUUUAUUUCUUUGAGACUAAUUUUCAUUCUCAAUAAUUUUAACUAUGUGUUUCAUAACAUUUGCCUAAAUAGAUUUCUUUCAAUUCUUCUAAUAUUUCAGGACAAACAGUAAAAUAAAAAUAGCAUUCAUUUUUAAGUACAGUUUAGAAUUCUUUUAAAAAGACACUAAAAAAUAUAAUAGUUUUUAAUAAAUACAUAUAUGUAAACUAAUUAAGUAUUAAAUGAAAAGCAAAAAUGUUUUCAAGAUUGAAAAUUAAAGACAAAUAAAAAUAAAACAUUUUAAAGAAUGUUAUAAUUAUAAAGACACCAAGUUGAGUUGGACAUAAAGAAAGGAAUAAUUCAAAUUAAGACAAGUGAAAAAUAUAUUUUUAUAUCGAUUAUAUAUAUAUAUAUAUAUAUAUAUAUAUAUAUAUAUAUAUAUAUAUAUAUAUAUAUAUAUAUAUAUAUAUAUAUAGGUCUCAGUUUUGUAAAUAUUAGAAAAUUUUUAUACUGAUUAUAACAAAAAAACAGAUAUAAAAAGUAAUACGAUGUUAUUAUUGUAAUAAAAUACAAAUAUUUUAUACCGGUUGCAAUCUUAAUAAUGUAGAAAAUCUUUUUUUUUUUACCUGUUAACUCUAAAGCAGGUAUAGAUAAAUGAUUGAUCUAUAUCAGUAAAAUAUUAUAACACGUAUGGAUUAUUUUACAUUUCUCGCCAUACUUUUUUUUUUUAUGCAAAAAUUCAUCACUGUUCUUCCUUGGGUUGUCAAGGAGGUUGGGUGAAGCUGUGUUUAAAAUUGUUCGUCACAUAUUCUAUUUCACAUUCACUCACUCAAGAAGUAACAUUCACAUCUUUUCUCUCGUAAACAUUUCUCAUUAUGCGCGUUGUCUUCCUCAAUAUUCCAGUGACUCGAGAGCUCAUCCUUCAUUAUCACAGAGCAUCUUCCUCACCUUCAUUUAAAUAUUAUUUCACCUUCGAUCUACAUCUAUCGAUUAUAAUCACAUUCUACCGAUUAUAAUUCCUUUCCACUGUUUAAAACCUCUUUUCCACCCGAUCAAUCAGUCCAUUAUAGGAUUCCUUGAUUCCUUUAGGAUUUUGCACAUAUUAAACCAUCUAAUUCUCUUAUCUAAGACAAACAUUUGAUUACUGCCAUAUUCAAGUUACUUAGCCUAUUUAUUAGUUGAUUUAAACCAUGUAUAUAGUCGCGUUGCUAUAGUUGUUAUGAACUAUAUCUCCUUCAGUAUUGUUCGUUUACAAAAUGUUUUCUAUGAUUUUAUCUUUUUUUUAGGGUUCUCAUAUUGUAUUGACAAUAACUAAUCCAUCCGAGUUUUUUCAUGACAGCAUAAAAAAUAAAUUGAGUUGCAUAGAAUUUUAAAAUUCUCUAUUAUAUUGAAUUCAACUCAACCUACUCCUCUUUUAUCCAGUUCAGUAUGUGAAAAGACAGAUAAAAUGUAUAAGAUGUAAAAGUUGAAUUGUGUAUCAAAAAAUUUAUAAUUUUUGUAAAUUUGUAUUAUCAUUUAUCAAAAGACAUUUAUAAAAACUUAUUCUUAUUUUGUUUUUGCAGUUUAUAUGACAAACAAUUGCGCAAACCUUGAGCAAAUAAGUUACUCCUAACAAAAAUAAUUUAAGUAUUUAAGUAUUAUUUAGAUAAUUUUAAUCUUAAUUAAAAGUUUAAGUAUUAUGUGAAAUGCAAUUACUCAUAAUUAAAAUCAGACCAGAAUAUUGUUUAAAAAAAUAAUUACUUAUAACUGAAAAUCAAAUAUUAUUUAUAACGUAAUUAUUUUUUAUCUAAGACACGUGUGUUUUUCUUGGAAACUCAAGUACUCGUAAUGAUAGGUUAUAUAAAAAUAAAUGUGAUCUAAAAUAUCUUUGGAUUUUGUUCACUAUAUAAAAAAAAUGUCUUCAACUCUUUAUGAAAUUUAAGACAAAACUUUUAACCAUAAAAAUAGUAGUGUUUUAACAAUUUAUAGUCAUUCAUUUUUCUUUUUCAAUUUGGAAGAUUCUAAAUAAAAUGUUGAAAAACAGUGGUUGUAAAUAUUGUUUUCAUGAUGAGAAACUUUCAUUCCAAAUCUUUAUUCUUAAGCAUUUAUAUUAUUCCCACAUAUAAAGAUAGAGAUGUAUUAUAUAUAUAUAUAUAUAUAUAUAUAUAUAUAUAUAUAUAUAUAUAUAUAUAUAUNNNNNNNNNNNNNNNNNNNNNNNNNNNNNNNNNNNNNNNNNNNNNNNNNNNNNNNNNNNNNNNNNNNNNNNNNNNNNNNNNNNNNNNNNNNNNNNNNNNNNNNNNNNNNNNNNNNNNNNNNNNNNNNNNNNNNNNNNNNNNNNNNNNNNNNNNNNNNNNNNNNNNNNNNNNNNNNNNNNNNNNNNNNNNNNNNNNNNNNNNNNNNNNNNNNNNNNNNNNNNNNNNNNNNNNNNNNNNNNNNNNNNNNNNNNNNNNNNNNNNNNNNNNNNNNNNNNNNNNNNNNNNNNNNNNNNNNUAUAUAUAUAUAUAUAUAUAUAUAUAUAUAUAUAUAUAUAUAUAUAUAAUAUUUUGAUUGAUGAUAUAACUUAUCAUUACCACAGGGGUUUUUAGUAGAAGUAAAACGUUGGAACAUAUUAGAUAAACAGUAUUUCCAAAGUUUGGAUAAAGUGAUUAGAAUGUUGACAUGAAAUAACUUGAGUAUAAAUCUUUAGUGUUAAUAUGUGUGUUUUUCUUUUUGUAAAUAUAAAUAUGAAAACAUCCUCUAUAAUGCAUUUAAAAAUUCAAAAAAAAUCUUUAUGUACCAUAUUAAAAACUAAAUAAUUUAACAUUUCAAAAAUAUAUAAUUAAAUAAUAGAACAAUAUAGAAAAUUAAAUAUAUUAAUGUCACUUAUCAAUUUUGGUAAAAACUUGAAUUCAAUUACAAAACUUAUCACUCAACCAAUAAUUGAUUAAUUCAAAUUGAAUUAGAUCAAAUUUGACCCAAUAACAACAAGAAAAAACUAUGAAAUUAUUAACCAAAGAACACCACUCAAUAAUACAGACUUGGCUAAGGAAAGUUUAUGUCAUUUAAUGAAUGUUUUCAUUCACAACACAUAUUAAAGAGUGAUUUAUUGAGUGUUUAUUUACAGUACAUUAAAUAAAAACACUCAUUAAAUGACGUAUACUUUGCCACUAUCAAACUUAUUUAGUCAAAUUUAUUUCAAUACCAUUGAUUUUUUCGUUUUAUUUCUCUCUUUAUUUAACUUCGCCACUAUGCAUAAGAAUAAAUCAUAUUUUAAUUUAUCACAAAUAAAAGUGAAUAUAUAUAAUUCAUAUAACCAUUAAAUAUUGAUUACAAAUAAUGUACUUACCUAUUAAUAUUCAUUACAAAUAAUAUCAUUAUCCAUUCUAUAUUUUUUUCUAUAGUUCUAAUAAACAUAAUUUUGAUUUUUACAUCUUAAAAUAUCAUUAUCUUUAAUCUCUUCUUUCUAGAUUGAAUGUGUAGUUUAGCCUUUAUUCCAUCCAUAAAUUUUGUUCUCUGAAUUUCCACUUAAAACAUAGAAAACACAAAGGUUUACAAUCUUUAUAAAUAUUUUUUAAUAUUAAAUAUAUCAUUAUUUGACACAUAUGCCAUAAAUACACAUUUAUCUCAAUAGCAGUAUAUAAAUUUACAUAUAAAUAAUAAGGUUGAACGAACUGAAAUAAACAAAAAAGUUAAACAAAAAUAUAGUUAUACAUUUCAGACACUUAAUAUUAAUCUACAAGUAACAAGAACAAAAUAUAGUUUUAAAAUUAUAAUUAUUAUUUGAUUGCAUAAAUAAAAAAUCUAUUUUAUAAUACUUUACUGUAUCUUCUUCAUGAGUAUUAUCAUGCUCUUGAAAUAAACUUUGAAUAUUUUAAAACGAAGAAAAAAUUUAUAAAAGUCAACUUGUACACAUAAGCACAAAUGCUAUUUAUUCAAAUCUUUCAAUUAAAUAAAUUUACAAUCACACACAAAUAAAUAAAUAAAUAUAUAUAUAUAUAUAUAUAUAUAUAUAUAUAUAUAUAUAUAUAUAUAUAUAUAUAAUAAGAAAUUAAUCGUAUAAGAUGAUAAGGUCAUUACAUUAGUUUUUAUUAUUAGAUUUUAAUUAUUAAAAAAAUUAAAUGGAGACAAAAUAUUUAGUGUAAACCACUAUUUCAAAUAAAAGUUACCUUGAUAAAUAAGAUAAGUAAAUUUUAUUGAAUAAAGUUAUCAUAUCUAAUUUUGAAAAAAUAUUAAAUUAAAGUAAAUUAUCAUACCUAUAAACUAGUCAAAAGUGUACACGUGCUAGAAAUUCAUCUAAUUUUGUCUCUAAUAGUAGACAUAUAGUAUUUAAAAAAGUUACUUUCAAUCCUAAGAAAUUUGAAUAGAAAUAUAUACAUCCACUCUAAUAAAACAAAAAUUUGUUAUAACCUAUUUUUAUUUCACAUUAUUUAAGUCCCAUAAGUUCCUUUCAAAAACCUUCCAGAUGGUUUUUCCUGUUUCCCAUAUUCAAGAAAAAAAAAAUGUUUAUUCACUCACUUUUGGCUUCUGAGCCUACUGAUAAAUAAAUAAAUAAAUGAAAUGGUGAUUGUUAAACUGGUAUAUAAUUUCAUUUAAAAUAAGGAAAACAUGCUUAAACUGUGUUUAUGACGUAAUUUUUAAAAUAAUUGUUUAUUUAAAAAAUUCAUUUAUUAAAAAAUAAUAUUUUUUUAUUAUUUAUUUUACACAAUUUGUUUCCGUGUUAUUAAGGAAAUUAGUUAAUUUAUGUGGAUGAUGACUAUGGUAAGAUAUUAAAAAAUUAAUAAUAAAUAAUAAUCAAAUUUAAAGAAUAAAAAUAAUUAAUGACUAAAUUAUAAUUAUUAAACUAAAAAAUAUUUAUAUAUAAAAUAGUUUUUAUUAUAAAUAAAUAGUAAUAAUAAAUUUAUGAAUUAAUAUUUAAAUUGAUUUUUAAAAUUAGUUAUAAAUGAAGAAAUUAAUGUUUAAAUUAGUUUUUAAAUUUAGAAAUUAAUUUAAAAUUUAUCAUGUCAAAGAUGAAAUUUAAAAUUUGAGUAAUUUUAUUUUUAUUUAGAAACAUUUUAAAUCAUAGAAAUAAAAUUAUUAAACUAAAAAAAUUAUUUUUGUGAUCAUAUGAUUUCCUUUUAGAUCAUUUUCUAAAUUUGUAACUGUUCCGGUUUAUUUAAAAAAAGGCUUAAUACCUUCAUUAGUUUGUCUGCAAAUCUCAGUUUCGUCCUCAAGUUUUGAACUGUCUCAAUUAAGUCAUAAUUUUUGUAAAAAAUGUACAUAUUUUACCCCUUAACUGUUAAGUUGUAUCAAACGGUGUUAAUUGGUGUUGAGAUGAUUUUUUUUAUUUUAGGCUUAAUCUCUCUCUUGAUCCUUAUGUUUGUGUGAAAAUCUCAGUUCGAUCUCCAAGUUUUGAACUGUCUCAAUUGGGUCAUAAUUUUUGAACUAUUCACAACGGCGACAUUUUUUAGUUUGAGAGGGAGAAAAGGUGCGAGUCGGGGGGUUUGAGGAUGGAGGAAUGAGUGAAAUGUGACAAGUGAUUGGAAGGAAAAAGAAAGACCAUAGCCACGUGGAUUUAAUGAUUUUAAAACAUCAAAAAAAAUAUUACUGCUCAAUUCAAAGUUAAUGCCGUCUUAAUACACUUAAUGGUUAGGAUAAAACGUUGUAAAGUGUUUGCAUUUCAUAAGGACUUGAGAAAAAACUUGAGGACGAAACUAAGAUUUUCACACAAACAUAAGGAUCAAGGGAGGAAUUAAGCCUAAAAUAAAAAAAUUCAUCUCACCAUCAAUUAACGCCGUUUGAGACAACUUAACGGUUAAGGGGUAAAAUAUGUACAUUUUUACAAAAAUUAUGACCCAAUUGAGACAGUUCAAAACUUGGGGAGCAAAAUGAGAUUGACAUACAAAUACGAGGAUCAAUAGAGGUAUUAAGUUUUUUUUUAAAAAAAAAAAAACAAAAAGUUAAAGUAAAAAAAAUUACGGUAGAAGUAUCUUAGUCAUCUUUCUUUCUUACUAGUGAUAUUCAUUUUUUAUACUAUUCUAUCACAUUCGUUUUAGAGAUUUACUUAUCAUUUCCUUAAAAAAAUAUAUAAACAUGUACUUUAGUUUAUUUUAGCAUAAACAAGCAUGACAAUAAGAUGUUUACGAGUUUUAUUAUUCUUUUUAUAUUACACAUAUUUAUAUAUUUUUUUAAUAUUUAUAAUUUUAGGAGUCAAAACUAUUAUUUAAUAAAUCUUUCCAAAACAGAUAGAAUUUUUUUACUAAACAUCUUAAUCGAGUAUGAAUUAUUAUACUAUUCAGUUAUAACUUUCAACAAUAACGAAUAAUUAGCUUAAAGUCUAUAAUUUCUUUAAGGUUGGAUUGAUAAGUAUUAUUUCUGAAGCCGAGAAAUUAUAUGAACGGUUUUAUUUUUAAAAAUCUUUAGAAAAAUAAAAGAAAUAUAGUUAAACCUUUUCAUGACAUAAAAAGAUUAUAUAUUUUCAAUUUUAAAAUAUAUAAACUUAAUUUUGAAUUUUUUUUUUCUAUUACUUUCUAAGAUUCAGAACUCAGGCGUCCUUGAAAUGUUGACUUUUUUUUAUACAUAGUAAUGAAUCAAGACAUGCAAAGAAAAAUAGGAUUGCUGAGUAAAAAUUAUAAAUAUCAUUAUUAUUUGUAGAAAGCAUAUAUAAAAAAUGGAGUUCAAUAAAUUGUGGUAAUAGCGAAAUUAAUGAAAUAAUUGAGAAGAUUAGAAAGCAUAGGAUGCUCCUCCAGUUCCGGUGGAUGUGUGGAGCAUUAUUUUAAUAAUAGCAUCAUUACGCAAUUAAAAAAAGGAUUAAAUUAAUGAUCUAGAAAGAAGAUACAUAGCAUAUUAAUCUGUGAAAAACUGAACAUCAUAGAAAACAGAGACUCUUUUCAGUUUUCUCCAAACCCAAGAAAUCAAAGAAUAUCAGUGGUUUACUUGGGAUGGAACAUCUACCUCACAUGGAACCACUGUUACCAAAUAACAUUACCUGCAUCUCUUUUUUCUUCCUCCAAAAGUUUUAAACAAACCAAAAUAAUUACUGUUAAUUUCUUAGUUUCUUAAUUUAUAAUUUUAAAACCUGUUCUAACUAAAAAUUAAUUAUACAAUUUAUUAUUUUAAUUCAUUCACUUAUCAUUUCCCCAUCCCCAGCAAAUAAUUUGGAGUACGGAAAUCUAAUCUAAAUUAGAAAUGUAGCUAUUCUGAUCCGAUUCAAUGUCAGUUAAUAAUUGAGCUUCAUUAGAAAAGGUGAAUGAAACUCCGAGGAAGAUGCUCAUUCCUUUAUAUUUUCUAUUUUUAACAAGUGUAUUAGAAGCGGAUUUCUAAGUCUAACUUAAUUUUAUAAAAUCAGUUUCUGAGAUGAGAUUUACGUUUCACUGAUAUAUUAUAAUUUAGUUUUAUUUUUAGUCGAUGUGAGACUUUUAACACACUGACGUAUAGACAUAUCAAACGUGAUAGUAAAAAUGAGUGGUCCGAUAGUGACUCGAUAGUGUUAUGAUAACGGGUGGAAUAAAAUUGUCAAUUAAAAUAAUAUAUAAAUAAAAUACAGACCUUUCUUUACAAGCUAAUUUUGUGAGAUUGAGUUAGGUUUAAAACAUUUUUUAAUAAAAUAAAAGUAAUUUUAAAUGUAUUUUUUCUAAAUAGAUGUUAUAAAAUUAAGUAGUAUUAGAAAGUAUUGUUUAAAUUUGAUAUUUUGUAGCUUUGAAUGAGGAUGAUUAGUGGUAAUAAUAGAGUUGAUGAAUGAAGUAGGUGUGUUGAGGAAAGUUGACGGGAGAUCUGAGAAGAUGGAAGGAAGGAGAAAGGUAACAGAAAGAGAAGGAAAUAAGAAAGAAAGCACAUGCGAUGUUGUGUUGUAAUAAAUGGUUUGAUUGUUGUGUUAUGAGAUGUGUGGUGCGUUGACAAUGCAGGCAAAAAUAACACAAUAAAAUCCUCUCUCUCUCUCAACAAUUGCAUCAACUUAAAAAGUCAAGAACACUUUUUCUCUCUCAGAGAGAGGACCCAUGUGCGCACCAAUAACAACCUCCUUCAUUUUCAUUAUAAUCCAAAAACUAUUAUUUUAUUGAAUAAUAAUAUCAUCACACAUUUUUACAUUCAUUUGACACAAAAUAUAAGGAUAAAAUGGUAUAAAAAGUAUAAAAUUUUAUAAUUUUUCAAGAAAAAAGAAAGUAAAAAAGUAAGAAUAAUUUCAAAUAAAUGUAAAAAUUGAGGUGAGUGAAAGAAUCAUUUCUCUAUUUUCUUUGGUGUUUCUUUUCUUCUAUGGCUUACUCUUCAACACAUUCAUGCUUUGUCUCUAUCAUGGGUUAACUUCUUUCAGUUAUCGUUUAUCAGUUCAUCAAAGUACGUUGUUUAUGUACAUCACAAACAAAAACAAAAACAACUCAACUUAACUUGAUCCUCUUGUAUUUUUAAGAUUUAAAAGUGAACAAGAUUAUAUUCUAGUUAAAGUAUAUAGUUGAAGAGUAAUAAUACCAUGACACACUUUUACAUUCAUUUAACACAUAAUACAAGGAUGAAAUGGUCCAAAAAGUGUAAAAUUUUGUAGUUUUUCAAGAAAGAAGAAAGUAAAAAGUAAAUAAAAAUAGUGUCAAAUGAAUGUAAAAAAUUUAGAUGUGUUAAAGAAUAAUUUCUCAUACUUUAAUAACGUAAUAGACUUAAACAUAAAAUUAUAGUUAGUUUUGGUUUUGAUAACAUAUGUAUUAAAAAGUAAAUUUUAAAUUUAAUUUCAUCUUACAAAACAUGUGAGUGUACAAGAAUUGUUUAGUCAUGAUGAAAAGGAGCAUAAGUUCAUUUUGCUUACACUGAAUCUAAAGAAAUUAUUUCCUUUCAUUCAUUACAAUCCUUUAUGUAUAAUAUGAACUAAAUCUAAGAAAACGAUUUCCUUUCUAAUCCUUUAUGUAUAGUAUGAACCAUAUGGUAAUUGGAAUCAAACUAUUAAAAAGUCAGAGAAAAAUGGAGCAACUAAGGUCAAAGAGUCUAAGAUAGAAAAUCAUUUUUUAUUAAGUCUCUAAUUAAGAUUAGAGGAGUUUAUACUAUAAUUAGACAAACUAUAAUAAGAAACUCAUUAGAAAAACUAUAAUAGAGGUCUAAGGCACCUUUAAUCGUUGUGGACGAACAAAAAACGAAUUUGAAAUAAGGAGUUAUAAAAGAUGGACUCUUAGAAAAUAAUUGAUCCACAACUAGAUUUAAGUGGUCUUUAUUAAAAAGACCGAGUGGUCAAAGUCAAACGGUUUAAGAUAGAAUAUCAUUUAAUUAAGUUUCUAACCAGAAUUAGGAGAGUUUGACUUGUAAUUAGACAUAUUAUAAUAAAAAACCUAUUGUCUCAAGUGUAUACAAACAUUUACACAGAAGCUGUUCAAUUCAAUGCACUUAUAAUUGGGAUAGUUGUGUCUGUUUUAAAUUUCAAGCUUAUCAUAUAUUUUUUUGUUCUUUACCAAAUUAUGCCUGCGUGUUUAUUAUGUUUAUAUUGUAAUGCACUUUCCUGUUAGUUAGUAUUUGUGUAUUUGAGGUAAUCAACAUUUAUUAUACAUAUACAAAUAUAAUGUGUAAACUCGCUCAAAUUAUUUAUCUAGGGCCAUUAUUAAGAGUUGAUGCUUGAGGGAUUAACAAGGGGUAGAGUCCACUAUCAAUUAAUUAUAUUAUAUUGAAUAAAAAAACUCAACUAUUUAUAAUAAUUAUUCAACAUUAUUAUUUUAUAGUUUAAUUUUAGAAAAUUGAACCAGUUAUAGUUUAGUUAACUAUUUAUUAACUUAAAAUUAAUUUAUUUUAUAUCUUUAUUUGUUUGAAAGUUUUUAAAGUUGUAGUUUAGUUUGGUUAAUAUUGAUUAGACCAAACUUUGGUUAGGAUUGACUUAGUCAAAUUUGACUGAUUUUUGACAAGAUUGACUUAGUCGAAUUUUGGUUGGAAUUGAUUCAACUCAGUUUCAGCUAUGUUUGACUCGGUUGAAUUCGGUCAAUUUUUGACUGGAAUUAACUCGAUUAAAUUUGGUUGAUUUUCGAUCGAAACCGUAUUGACCAUUCGUGGUCAUGUGAAUCGAAUUUCGUUGAUUUUCAACUAGUGCCAGCUCGAUCAAUACUCAGUUUUAUGGGAGAACCCAUGUUAUUGGGUAGAAACAAUUUUUUUCUAUCUACUUAAUUGUAUGUGUACCGUACGACCCCUCCACCUGACCGUACGGUCUUUCCCAAUGACCAUACGGUCCUCCCAUAUGGCCGUCCGUGCAGUCCUUCCAGGCCAACCUUCCUGGCCGACCAUUCAUCAGGCUGACCUUCCAAGCCGACCUUCCAGGCCGAUUAAUCACCAGGCCGACCUUCCAGGCUGACCAACCACUAGGUCGAUCAUUCAGACUGACCAUCUAGACCGACCGAUCACCAAGCCGACCUUCUUGGCUGACCAACCACUAGGUCGAUCAUCCAGACCGACCUUCCAAGCCGACCAACCAUCAGGCCGACUAUCCAGGCCUCCAGGCCGACCUUCUAGGCCAACCACAUGGAUAAAUUAUAAACGAUAAUAAUUCAUUAAAGCCCCUAAUGGAGGUUAAGGUGUGAUUGGGCCGUCAUCAGACCCACGAAAGGUAAAAGCCCAUUACAGCUAGUAUAAAUAAGGGUCUCAGGUAUGAUUUCAGACACGUUAUAUAUAUGAUACACACCACUUUUGCUGACUUGAGCGUCGGAGUGCUUUUGGCAGGUACCCGCUCCGCUCGGCUUGGAGAAGAAGGAAAGAGGGAGAACGAACAACUUCGAGUUUGAAGAGGACAAUGAUGAUCGUCCAGCCUCCAACAAGUCCCCACUAGGAAGGUUACAAGGGACCUCCAAACCCAACCGAAACAGUAUGUAUUUCUUUUUUGUUUAUGAAAAACAUAUAUUAUGAAUAAAACAGAUAAAUACUAAUUUUUUUAGUUUUUUAAUUAAAAAAUAUUGAAAGUUCGGUUGAAAAUUAAUGCAUUUCGAUUAAAAAAUAAUGAAGGUCAGUUUAAAAUUAGUGUAAUUUAAGUACAUAUUCAUAACGGUUCAAUUCAAUUAAUAGGAUAAUUUAGUGCAAUACAAGUUGAUAAACAAAAAAUAAUUUAGGAAUUAAUUUUAAGUUCAAGGGUUAAAUAUGUUUUUAGUCCCUGUACUUUGGGGCGAUUUUGGUUUUAGUCCCUCUUUCAAAGUAUAGUACAAUUUAGUCCUUCAACUUUAGAAAACUCUGGUUUUAGUCCUUUUCACCAAAUUUUUUUAACUUUAUUUAUUAUUUCAAACGCGUUUCUCAGUUAACAUUGAAGCAAAAAUGUGUCAAAUAGUGUAAACAAUCCAAAUGCUAUAAUGUAAGGUGCUUGAAACAGCAAAUAAAGUUUAAAAAAUUUGGUAAAAAUGACUAAAACUAGAGUUUUCUAAAGUUGAAGGACUAAAUUGUACUAUAGUUUGAAAGAGGGACUAAAACCAAAAUCGCCCCAAAAUAUAGGGACUAAAAACAUAUUUAACCCUAAGUUCAAUUAUGACAAAUUAAUUUUCAAUUUAAUAUAAUUUUUGACCGUGCAAUAAAUUUUUAAUCAUAAAUAAGAUAAAAUCAAUGCAAGUCACAUUUUUAAAACCAGUGUGUAUCCUUUUCUAAAAGACCAAUAUAAUCUACAUGAGAUUUUGUUAUUCAUAUAACCCAUCUAUAGUACAAUAUCUUUUUUCUUUCACUUUCUGUCCCAGAACAUUAUUUACUUUCUCUUUUUUCUACAUUGCUGUAACAUUACCUUAAAAGUAUCAUUAUUCAAUCUAAAUUCUUAUUUUAAACUUCUACAUUAAUUUAAGAAAUAACUCUUAUAAUUUUUUUUUCUAAAUGUGUGCUUACAGAGAAAUUUGUCUCAGAUUUCUAAUAUGAUAUUUUGUUUGCAGUAGAGAACAAACAAGUGCUAAAGAAAAUGAAAUAAGUGUUAAGUUCUCAUGUAAUGUUGCUAACUUGAAGAUUUAUUUUAAUGUCUCAUUAACAUUUAAAAUGUACUAGUAACUUUGUUUUUAAAGGACAAAAAUUUGAGACUAGGGAGAAUAAUACACAAUUAGACCUUUUAACUAUUAAGAUAAAGGAAAAAGUCUCUUUAACAAUUUUUUUUGGACAACUUUUUGACAAUGCAUACGUGACAGUCUAUGAUUAGUCCGUUUCAAAUAUUUUUUUAAACAUAAAUUCAAUCAAAUAAAUAAAACGAUGACACGUGUCCUGUUGUAAAAAAGUUGUUAAAAAAGAAUUGUCAAAAUAUCAUUGUCCUAAGAUAAAUUCUACCGGUCAAUAAGCAGAAAAAUAAUGAGUAUCCAAUGAAAGAUCCUACAAGGAAAUCUUGAUGGUAUGGUUGUUUACAAUAAUAGAAAACUAUUACAAAGCCUACCAUGUGAUUAUGUAUACAUACACUGAAAAAUGUUGCUGAGGAAUUAAAAAACCUGCAACAAAUCAGAAACCAAUUCGUUAAUCAAACAUGUGACAACAUCAAACUCAAGUUCUAAACCUUCUUCAAAUGCUUCAGUGUCAAACUCAAGCCAUGUACCCGAUGGAGUACUCAUGUCCUUGUAGACUAGUUCCUCCACCACUGAUUCUUCCAUGCUCCUAAGGUUCAACAUUUCCUUGUACAAAUCUUCAGCUAAAGAGCUCUUCUUCUGAACUGAAGCCAUCCAUUUAGGCAUUGCUUUGCAGCUUCCAACAAAAACUUUUCUACAUCUUAACUCUAAGCAUUCACUCACUGUGUCAAAUAUAACCUUUCUCUCGAUCUUAGAGUACUCUUCAUAGCUUUCUGCCACAGUGCUCUUAGUCUCCAACAGAUCAAAGAGAUUUGGCAUUAUGAUCUUAUCUGUCUCACCCAUCAAAAAUUUUUCUGUCAUCAGCUCUGCACUGUAGAGUAUAUCCUUUAUGUAAUCAAAUUCCACGUUCCCAGAUAAUCUUGUAAACUCUACUGAAUUUGACAUUAUACUUGAUUGUUCAAUGGCAACCAUGUCCUCUCCCAUCACUAUGCAAGAGCUUUGCUCAGACCAUUCGGCCUCGUUUUCAAGUGGCAGAGAUUCAUUCAUUGGAGAAAAAUCAGAUAGCUCUUCAUCUUGCAUGGAAGAAUAAACUGUGCUGCCUAAAAAGAGUAAAUAUGGAUGGGUGUUAAGGAACCCAGAAAGUUUCUAACAGUUAUUUUUUCAUGACCUAAACUUGAUGAAUUAUCUUCAUUAUACAUGCAUGGCAAGCUGGAUGUUAGACAUUCAAUUGAAACUGCAAUAAAGACACCAUUGUAAAGCAAAAUUGGACAGUUAUUUAGAAUUUUCUGCAACGUCUGCAUAGCUUCAUUGCCACAUCUAGCUCAGUGACUGUUCUAAUAACUCCCCUCCCUGCUUGAAGUUUCAUAAACUUUAUGCAGUAUUCAAUUAUAAAUCUAUAAGAAAGCGAAGCCACUGGUUUUUCUUUUAGAUUUGGAUAAAAAAUAUGCUCAAGGAAGUGCAAAAAAAAAAUAAAUACUAAGGCAUUACCAUAUGCACUAUCUAAGUAACUUUCAUUUCUGCUUUCGCUGUUGCUGCUGCAGCUAGGCCCUUCUAUUGAUUCUGAUGUCUGCACAAGGGAAGAGUAAUUGAUUGCUAUACCGUUCUUUUCAGUUCAAACUUCAAAAAAUAUCAAAUAUUUAAUUAAAUUUGAAAGGAAUAAUUUAAUAGUAUGUAGAUCGUAUCAGACAAAUCCCCAUAUCAUCCUAUAAAAGAUAUGAAAGAGACCUGUGGUUGCUGAUUCAUACUAAGCACCAUGCUAUCAUUUGACAAACAAUUGUCAUGCCUGCUGUCCAAUUUAUUACUAACCAGGUUGGGGUGAAAACUUCUGUCUUCCAAACCAGCAGAAGACCAUUCUUUCAUCACAGAGCAUUGAGUUGGGUUAAUUCUAGAUGUCAAUUCUUGCAGCUUUCUCUCCAAAAGGACACUUAAAGCCUCACCAUCUAUUACAUGUAACCUGGGAGGAGAUAAUGAUGAUUUUCUGGGAUUGAUCAUAUUAUUGCUACAAGAAUUGACAUCAGUUUUGUUCCUUGUUUCCACCAUUUCCUCAAUGGAGGACUGUAACUCAGGCCUUUUUCUUCUCAAAGGAGAUGUAAAUAUAAAUGAAAUCACACCAUUGCUUCCUUUCAUACUAAAUGCAUCCUGAUUAAUACUUCCGUCAGUUGUAAUAUUGCAUUUUAUAGACUUGUUUUCAUAACUAUUAGCCGCAGUAUCAGUGCCUCUUGCCUCAUUGUGAACAACCCUAUUCAUAUAGUUUUUCUUUUGGGAAAUGCUCUUUCUUUUGGAAACUGAUUUGGUAGCACCUGUUACCCUUGUGUCUGACCCUUUGGGCUCGGUGUUGGUUUUUACAACACCCCUUUUUGUGGUCUUCUUUGCUCUAGUAGAACUUUCUGGAGACCAAUUUUGUGUUGGUUUAUGCGAGUAUGCCUUGGAAGUCGGGUUACCUUUGGUGGUUUCACUACACAGUUUUUGGUUAUUCUUCCCAAGCACAUUACUAUUCUGGCCAUUACAAGCUUUCUGCUGAAUGACUCUGGCUCGGUCUGUGCUUCGUUUCUUCUGGCUCCGAGACAACUGGUUUGAUUUGAUAUCAUUAUGUUCCUUCUGCUUCACACAUCCCCUAUUACCAUUCAAAGUCAAUUCAUCACAGCUCUGAACAUUGGUUCUAGAUGGAAUUGCAAGUGAAGCAGAUUUUCUUUUGCUUGACAACCGGCAAGAACUGUUUUUUUCUGAAUCUCUUGAACCUGGUGAACUUGGAGUAGAUUUACAUAAACUAUUUCUCCUCUCACCAGGCUUGCCAUUCAGAGGGUUAGCAGUGUACUUACCUGUGAAUUUGGACUCAUGUUGGGAAGCUUCCAAUUUCUCUUUCAGCUCAAGAAUUCUUAAGGGUACAGAUGAAGGUCCAGCAGAAGACAUUCUGUUCCUCUUACAUGGCUGGGGACUUACCUCAAUUAUCUUGGCAGCUGCCUCCAUAAUUUGAGCUGCAUGCUUAGGUUGAGACAAAAGUUUGUGGUGAGUAACUGGAAUGGUUUUGGCAGACCUUGGAGGUAACAUUUCAGUCUGAAAUCUUUUCAUGGCUGGAUUUCUCUCUUUUGGUUCCAUGACUCUCCAAGAAGACUUCACCGAAUUAAGUCCCAUGUUUAUCGAAUCAACAUUACAACAAUAGUCAACCGUUGAGUGAAGAACAUCCUCAUCAGGAGUACGAGAAGAUCCAAGAGAGUUGGAGCCAUAUAAGGAAGUGGAUAAUGAAGAGAGCUCAGAGACAUUUGAAACUGGCAGUGAAUCCAAACCCAUGAGUCUGGCUACUAACCCCGGGGCUUUAGUCUGACACCCUUCAUCACUACUAAUUGAUAUGGCACAAUCAAAAUCAGAACUUGCAUUGUUACUAGGAUUUCCUCCAUUGUCAUUCAUUUCCAUCUGAAACAAUUGCAACAACCAACAAAAAAUAAACCGUAUCAUGAAAGAAGGGCAGAAAAAACAAAAACAGAAAAAGUUACAAAUAACUCUUGGAUUGUGAAAGGCUGAACAAAUUCACACCUUAUCGACCUCUGACUUUGGCAAAUUGUCCACGUUUUCCUUUCCUUGCUUUGAAAUUUCUAAAGUACAUGCAGCAUAAAUGUUUAGAACAGGCCAAUCAGACUCACUUCACUCCAUACAAUAACUAAUGAUUGAAAAAGGUACACAACUUUUGAACAAAGGAAGCAAGACAGAAGUGUAACAAAUAAGAACAAUAAAACAAUACAAAAGAGAGCAACGAUAAUUACCAGGCAACUUAGGAUCGUGAGAAAGGUGCUUCUUUUGAUAUUUACCAUUCCAGUCAAAGAAGCUAAGAAAGGUUCCCUUGAAACGUCUUCUGUGAAUCUCCAUUAUAAUGUUGGCCGUAUGAAACAAUGAGAUCCUGUUGACAGUUACUUUCUCUGAAGAACCCAAAUCUGAAGAAGAAACAAAGUCCAUCAUCUGAAGAAGAAGCCCAUUUUAAAGUCUCUUUCUUGCAACCAGAAAACACAUCGUGUGUGGUAAAGGUGGAGUCUUUUUAAAAGGGGGCCCCUGAAAAUGGAAGUUAUGGGUCAUUAUCAUAAAUCUCUCCCAACAAAGAAACCAGUCGCUGAACAAUGCUUAGGCUCUAUUUUCCAUCGGUCUCAACACUCUGAGUAUUCAUUCAUUCACUCUUGUCGUCUAUGUUUCUGAAAGGAAACAGUUACUGCUUUGCGUGUGACAUUAAUCUGCAAAGACCAGACUUAUAAAACGGGGGUCUCGUGGGGGCUAACAUAAAUAAAAGCUAAGUCAAACACAUCAACUCAACUAUAACUUUUUUAUUAUCAUUUUUUCUUUUUAAAUAUUUUUUAUCCACGCCUUAAACAAACUAAUUCCACAGUUACAUCUUAAUACCACAUUAAUUCAUAAAUAAGAAAUACAAUAUGCAACUUGGUUCAAUUAGAGUGCUAACAAUAUUUUCUUUAUAUAUAUAUAUAUAUAUAUAUAUAUAUAUAUAUAUAUAUAUGUUAUAAUUAAUUUUUAAUCACUCCAAUAAAUUCAUGCCAUUUAUAUACUUAUUAAUAUAAUUCAUACGAUUUAACUAAAUUUAUCAAUUUUAAUUAAUUUUAUAAUUUUUCUUUUCUUACUUUUGAUGAAGCAAAACCAACUCGUUCCUAAAUGAAGUGGGAUAAGAUUUAUAAUUAACAAGUAAUUAAUGAAUGGAUGAAUUCUAACUCAAUUUGAGUAUAUGGAUGACUAAUUAGAUAAAAAAUUACUACAUUUAUCAAUUUUGCCAAACAAGUGCAUAAAGAUGAACUAUAAAAGCAUUUUAUUUUGGUGGAAGAAUUUGGAAGUUUUUUUCUCCAAACACUUUGGUCUAGAGUUUUUAACAAACACUUGAAAUUUGUAUCAUUAUUUAGUCAUCUUAAAUACUAAUAACAACGAAAUUCACUUUCCAUAUUUUAAAGAAAUCAAACUUUAAUUAUAAAAAAAAUAUAGACUCCAAGCAAUACUUAUGUAAAAUAAAAUAAACAUCACUUGAAUCUUUAAUAGAAGAAAAAAUAUAUAUUUUCAUACAAUUUGUUUGAUAACAUUUUGACGCAAAUGUAUUAUUUUUUCAUUCAAAACAUCUUAGCAUAUCUAUAGUUCAAACAUUAUUACAAUCUCCCUUGUAAUAACAUGGAUUGUCGUUCUCAGAUCCAUCUCUUUACUAACACAUUAUGGCAUAUUAUAACUUAUUUAUUGUUUUGCAUACAUGAACAAUACAAACUCAUCACUUUCAUAUACUUUUUGUUCUCAUAUCAUAUUUUUCUUUCAGCCUUUUCGUAUACUUUUUUUUUCACUAGAAAUAAUUAAAAAAUAUUCUGAUCACUUUUUCACUUUCACAUUUUUUUACUACUUUAGUUUAUCUUGUUUGUUAAAAUUGUGACUUGCUUCCCACAAUGCUGAAAUCUCUAUUGGAAAAAUAAGAAUUUAUUCUCUUGAUGGAACCGUGUAACCUUGUUAGGAUUUUCUAGAAUUCCAUACACAGAAGUUACUUUCUCCUCUUAUUAGUUAUAAAAUUUCGAUAUAUUAUCUGAGACUUCUUUUGUAUUUUAAAAGGUUUGCACAAGAUAGAGUGUAUAAAUUCUUAAAAGAACUCUGUUGUUGGUUUGCUAAGCCCUUAGUAUUGUAUUACGAGCAUAUUUACAUUUCACCUAUCAUACAACUUAUGACACUUUGGAUUGGGAAGACAAAAUAGUAUAGUAAGGACAAUUAGUUGAUUAGGUAAACGUAAAAAUUACACAAAAUAAAGUCAAAUUAUAGUAUAUUUAUUUAUAUGAAUUUAUAAAUUAGUUUUGUAUUACUGAAUUAUAUUUAAAAUUUAUUUUUGUAUUAUGUCAGAAUUAUUCAAAAUCUUAUUUUAAGGCUGAUUAUUGUCUAAUAUGUCACGCUUCUUGUAAUCUCACGCUUAUAAGGAGCUUUCUAUAUCUAUAUGUAGUAAUAGAGGAGAGGUUAUUUGAGGGUGAAAUUGGUAAAAAGAAACGCAAGUAGUUAAGACGUCAUUCUAAAAUUUGUUUCUUGUUAUAAAAAGACACCUAAGAGUACAAUAUCAGGACUAAUUAAGAAUACAUUGCAUGUGCAUUUAUUUAAUAUACAUUCCUAUAAUUCACUUUUAGACUAUGAUUUGUCAUUUUUGCGCUACAUUCGCAGAUUCAUAUUUCAUAACCAGCAUUCACUAAAACUCUUCAUCAUACCAUGUUAAGAAAAUAUCAAAAUAUUUGAUUGAGUGCUUUUAAUAGAUACAGGUGGAGCCCGUACUAAAUGCAAAAGGCUCACAAGUCAAUCAGUAAAAAGCUGUAGGUUAUGCAGUUGAACUCAAAGGAUACGCAUAUUUCUCUCACCAUGUGCAAUAAAAUUUUAUAGUAAAAAAAUUUUUCUUUCUAAAAAAAAAAAACCUAUGCGUACGGUUACCAGCCCAAUCCCAGUCAAUAUGCAUGAGCUAAUCUUUCCACGUGACUAGUGGAAGAAACUUCUAUAAAUGCAGUUCUAUCAUCCAAAUAACUUGUAAUAUUUUAAUUAAAAAAUCAUAAGCAUUUACACAAUUAUUGUUUAUUAAUCUCAAAUCAUAUUGUUCAUAACACAUCUCAGCCUUUUAUCUUAAUUAUAUUAUUCGGUGUACAAGCAAACGCACAGAUGACAUAUUUCAUGUGCAUCAUAUUAGGAUGUUUAAUGUAACAUACUGAUUUUGACAACACAAUCACCUAUAAAUUACCAAAUAUGGUCAAGGUUAAGCCUCUUUCACUCCUCUCGAGAUACAUCAUCUUAACUCCAAAUUUGAUUUAUUAUUAAAGUUUUUGUAAGUAGUUACUUGUAUCAUUAUUUUCCGAGAUGUCGCGGCCUUAUACAAGUAUUACUUUAACAAGUAACACGUCUUAAAAGCAAUUGCCUAAACUUACAUUUUCAAGGAUCAAACAAAAACACUAGUUGACUUCUGAUCACCUAAAUUAUAUACUAACUCAAUUUACAAACUAUCACAAGAUGGAUUAGGGUUUCUCCCAUUAUUUAUGCUAUUACAUAAAUUUGUUAUGCAGUGGUUAUGAUUUAUGACAUUUUUUGUAUGACUACGCAGAGUCAUUUAUACGAGGACUUAAUUUAAAUUUUUAUGGUGCAUCACGAUAAAAUCCAUUUUGCUCAAUGAACUUCUAUAUCAUUGGUGCAGUUAAAAUUGAAUGCAUUGACUUACUCGAGAAAGUGAAAGGGACUUCAAUAUGUACUCGAUGUCUCCAAGUUAUCAAUCAACGUCAUAAUUGGGCCCAGAAGAUUGUAAGGUGGGUUCUUGAGAUCAGAAGUUAAAUGCAUUUGAUAUGAACAAACAGUAUUGUUGAGAAUUAUCAUUAUUUAUCGGCGUUUAAUUAAUGAAGAUCAGAUAUCAGAAUUAUAAAAAUGUUAGUAUAACUCCAUCAGUCCAUUAGCAUAACGGUUCCCAAAAGCAUCCCAUGUUAACUGAGAAAAUAUUUAAUUUGAAGCAUCAAUACGGAGAGGAGGACCAACUGGGUAAAACUGUAUCCAGUUCUUUUACUUAAAGGAACCAAUAAUACCUCUAGACCAAUAAUAUUAUGACCGAAAUAGGUUCUACAGAACGCCAUUUCCAGUUUAGCAUAAUUAUAAUUUUAUGUGCAAAUCUAAUUAAUCAAUUUUUUUCCUUCAAAAGUGUGGUACAUCUUGGGUCGACAUCUUUCUUCUAUAGAUCUGAAAAAUAAUGACCAAGAAAGAUAUUUCGACUUUUCCACAGGUAAGCUCAAAGAAAAAUUUUCUGAAGGACAAAAAUGCUAUAGGUACCGCUCCAGAUAGUCCACAGAAGUUUGUUAGAGCGUACCAGACUUGACAUUGAUGGUGCAGCAAUUCAUAAUACAGUCUUGAUACAGUUAUCACAGGGGCUAGAUCCAUACUUGCAAGAUUUUCUAUCAAAAAAUUCUCCGAAGUGUUUGAGUAAAGUUUGUCUCCGGCAUUCAACCUAACCAUCCAAACAAACACAAUACAUAAAAGUCUUAUGAAUAAACGCCUUUCUGCACUACAGGCCAGUUUGCUAUACCCUUAAAAACACGGUGAGCAAUAUAUGGAUGAUUUUUAUAUGAAAAAUUUAUAUCCAAAACUCAUAUUUUACUAUUUUAAACCACAUUUUCAAAAACAGACAAGAGAUGUGAAAGAGAAAAGUAAAAAAAAAAAAAAAAGUUGACAUGCAAAGGAGCUUUAUUACCUCUAUUUCACAGUACUCUUGCAUCUUUUUGGCUUGAACCAUUGCUGUCUUAAAACUUUCCUUUUUAUAUCCCUGACCAUUUCUUAUCAUGCAUACAACUCUACUAAAAUCCUUCUUUUGGUAAAGAACAAUGCAAACUGAAGGAAGAUUAUCUCUUCCGGCCCUUCCAGAUUCUUGAUAAUAGCUUUCAAUAGAUUUUGACAUUGUAUUGUGGACGACGAAGCGCUGAAAGCAUGACAAAUGAAAAUUUGAGUAACAAAAUCUGUAAAUUUAAGAUACCAGUAAGGUAGUCUUUCAGUUAGAACUAAUCCCUAUAUUUUCAAGUGGAUAUAUUUGCCCUAGCCAAGCAUUCAAAUGCUACACUAACGUAAAUAUGUUACAUUUAAGUUUAUAUAAGGCAGGUUCGUAAAUGGAUCUAAUAGAUUUUGGGUGUAUACUUUCAAAUUGCACUUGGACAGUAUGGAUAAAAGUAUCUGAUGAUCACUAGGAAUCUGAAUAAUUGUAGGAGUAUCACUUUUAUUAGUUAACUCAAUCAAUAAAAAAGGCCUUGAAAAAACUUCAAAAGUACGGAGUUUUUGGUAAUGCUGUGGAUUUUCAAAAAGAUUAGACCCAGUCAUUUCUUAGUCAUCCGACUGGUGAUAAGUAGCAAAUCAUUGAUAGGUCAUUUCAUUUAUAUAUCGCCUAUAAGACACGGAAUUAUCUACAGGGAAGGGCGUACUAUAUUUUUUAAAGGUGUAGUAUUCCUAAACAAAGUUGAUCAUAGAAUUUGAAUUAUCACACCAUAAUCAUAAUUUUAAAAUGUAGCUCAACUUACAACAUCAGGUUUGUCUAUCCCCAUUCCAAAAGCAAUGGUUGCACACACAAUAUGGACCUCCCCGUCAUGCCAUUUCUUUUGAACAGCUAUUCUCUGCCGGGCAGCCAAGCCAGCAUGGUAAUACACUGUUUUGAUCUUGCAUUUCUCAUUUAAAAAUUUAGAGACCUCAACACAUUCACUUUUUGAAAGGCAGUAAACAAUUCCACACUGAUUCCUGAAGCGAUCAAUUAGUAGCUGUCCGAGUUGCUUUAGUGGUUCCUUUGUCUUACCAAUCACUUCAUACUUCAAAUUUGGUCUGUCAAAGCUUCUUUCAAGAACGAGUGCAUGGGGAAUUCUUAGAGCAUUUAAUAUGUCCUGAAAAAUAAAAAUUAUUUAAAGGUGAAAAAGGGGCGAAAAAACUCAAUAGAAAUGCUCAUCACAGUGACUUGAUACUCUGAUUACCUCACGAACUGCAUGGGUUGCAGUGGCAGUCAAUGCCAUGACGGGUACAUCUGGAAACUUUUGCUUUAGAGAUCCCAAUCCCCGAUAAUCAGGCCGGAAAUCAUGUCCCCAUUGGCUGAAAAGCAUGAUGUUCAAUUUGAUAGUAAUGACUGAAUAGUGGAUAAUUUGAUAUCUCUUAUAACAGUAAAAAUAUACAUAGCUUUAACAAGUCCAUCCCUUGUUGUAGGAUAACUUGCUACGCUAGCAGUUUUAAGUUCUGCUUGCACACCAAAGCUAGAGUUUGACCCAUUUUGCUCAUCUCUACUUGAAAGCUACGAGUUAUAAUUAAAACCUUAAAAGGUAUCGCAAAAACUGUUUAGUAUGUUUAUAGUUUUCUUAGCUUAAACAUAUAUAACCGUUUCCCAACUACUUUCAGGUAUAAACUUCCCACCAUUAUAGAUUCCAUACAACCUGACCAUUUGUGUUACUCAAGACCCGCAGUGCCAACUCUGCCAAACUGGAACUCAAAGGGUCUCCGUGAUUUUUGGAGAAUGGAAUGCUCUUGAAGUACUAGAGUUUGUGCUAUUGCAUUUUUUACCACGUUAUAUGGAUUUUUUAGCUUAGGCUUGAUUCUCAAGCAUCCCAAGCGUGAUACAUCCUUUGGAGGUUUAAGAAUUGGGGAGGAAUAAAGUUCAUCUAGUCAUCUCUUGAUCAUUGAUUGUACAAAAGGUGACAAAUAGUGGAAAAUCAAAAUUUCUGAAUUGGGGACAGAAUGCACCUCUCAGUUGUAGAGGAUGUAUCGAACCUCUUGAGUUAUCUCUCUUGUAAACCCUAUCUUUUACAAUUCUUGCAUUUAAUUGAGAUUUGAUUGUGUGGGUCAUUGUCUUGACUUUUUUAUUGAUUGAAUUGUGAAUUACCACUGGAUCUUGAUAUUAUUGAAUAAAAUUCACAUUGUUGUUGCGAUAUUGGCUGCAUGGUGAACAUACAGAUUGCAUCAUUUCAAUCAUUCUACUCCAUGUGAGCAAGUCAUUGUACAAAGAUAGUCAUUACACAUUAGAAAUUUGCAUUAGAGCGUAUCUCGGACUAACCCCCACACAAAUAGAUUGAACGAUCUUAACAUUAAAAAGGAGAGAAUAAUUUUCAGAAUUUUUCAAAAAGGUUGAUUAAAAGAUUUUAAAAGUUGAGUUCUUCAAUUCACUCUCUCCAAAUCAUUUUCACCAACACAUUUUGUGAUCUCACUGUUUCGAAGUAUGUCAUUGCCUACCAGAAUCAAUGUGUUCAUUUUUCAUUCGAUUUGUCUUCUUAAUUGGCUCCAAGAUAGCUUAACUUAAAAAGACAUUUCCUGAAUAAUGAUACUUCAUUAAUAGUUAAAUUUUGGGGCUUGUUCAUAUUGUGCGACCAUUAUGUCAUAUGUGAGCUCAUAUAGCGCAGUACUGCUUCAAGCACGUGUGAUCAAUGGUAAUGUUAUGUCUUAAAGUUCCAUACAAUUGUGAUAGAUUCUAUAUUAUAAAACCAAAUGUUUUUGAGAUAAAAUCUUACAUGGUAUUAAAGUCUAAAGUCCAUCUAAAGUUCUAUACAAUUGGCUAACAUGUGAAAGGAGGGUGUUGGAAAAUCACAUAUCAUCUACCUCAUUUAUUGGGGUCAACUAUAUAUCUACUGGACAAGUUCAUUUGAUGGUUUUAAGAUAGAAACUAAAAUAUUAGUUAUUGAUGAAAAACAAUUAUUAGGAUUGUACACAAAAAAGAACAAGGCGUACCUAACACAGUGUGCCUCAUCAACAACAAAACCUGCUAGUUGUCCCUGGGAUUCAAGAGGGAAAACCAACGAAAUAAACGUCAAAAUCUACUGCUCUGCCACAAGAGUUUAAAAAAAAUGUACUUAAAUCAAGAAAACUUUACCUUCCGAUGCAUGCAUUUCAGAAUCUCCUGAAACGAUUGGUUGCCAGCAAUUCUCUCGGGUGUUACAUAUAAAAGUUUGCACGAUGGUUUGUCUUUUCUGGAUACAAGAAGACCAAUGUAAGAAAAUUUUAAAUAAGCAGUAACAUGCAAGAUUUUUUAGAAAGGAAGUAUACUACAAUAGUGUAUAAUAUACUAUUCUCAUGGGUAAAUAAUCAGAGAGAGAUAAGAAUAGACAAAGAAGUGAACUUCACCUUAGCUCUUGGAGCACGGCUGUGGCCUGGGAAGCAGUUUGUUGAGAAUUUAAGAAAGUAGCAGGUAUUCCAAACUUGAGGUUUAGUGUUAUUAUCUGAUCCUGAAUGAGUGAGAGUAAUGGAGAUACAACUACGGUGACACCUGGUUGAAGAGUUGCUGGAAGCUGUAAGUACAAAAUACAGAAAAAAUGUCAGAAGCACAUAAACUGUACGGUGACAGAUAAUAGUAUUUACCUUGUCUCUGGGUAGAAAUUAUAGUUUGGAAAACCCCUUUUAAUAAUGAAUAAAAGAGGGACAGUCAAGAUACACAAUUAUUUGAAACAUUCUCGAUCUUUAGCCCUUUUGAGCAAAUAGUUCUUCAGAAUAUUAACCAUCAUCCAUAUUAAGUGAUUUAAAGAAUAUGGCCAAAUAAUGAACUUAGAGAAAUGGAGGUACAAGAAAUAACUGACCUGAUAGCAAAGAGAUUUACCACCCCCAGUAGGCAUAAGAAUAAAGGAAUCUUGCUUUGCCAAAGCUACUUUACAUGCUUGAUGCUGCAAUGGUCGAAAUGUACUAUUACCAAAGAUAACAACAUUGGCCAAUUCAAUAUCAUCUAGAGCUUGCAAUUCUUCAUAAGUGAGAGUACCACUUUUAUCCCUUGAUGCAAAGGAGGAUUGCAUUUUGCUGGAAGUUGAUGAAACCGAGCCUUGAGUGAUGCCACUUCUGUAAUCCUACAACAAAUAUUAAUUAUUUCGGUAUAAUAUCAACAUGGCAUCAGUCUUAUAUACCAGAAAAUCUAGCUAACAAAAAAGAAAAUAUAAUAGAACUAAGAAUAGUACGAACUGUUACCAAAUAUUAUUGCCAUCCAAAUGAUCAAACUAAUUUAGAACCAUGUUAUACUUUUAGUAGACCAACUAUGCAAGAAGAGUAGGUGAAAAAUUUACAUAUUCUGGGAACAGUUCAAUGUCACAACCAUCAAAGAAACUCUCCUAGCAAUUUUUCAUUAGUGCUAUAUUGGGUUUGAGUUGCAUCAUUUCCUGUUCACCUAAUUCCAUUUCAUCCCAGAUUGUUUAACAAUCUUUGUGCUUGGUUUUGCCUUUUAAAGAAGAAAAACAUUUAAGCAUUAGAGUACAUAUGCAGAUCAAUCAUAAGUUUCUGUCCAUGUCAGUGCAUUUUCCUCACUUAUAAAACCAUGGAAUAGCUUUAAUCUUGUUCGUAAAUAUUUUGAAUAGCUACACAUCACUGUGAUACAGUUUUAGAAAAGCUCACUUGUUAUCCCUCUUCCAGAUUUUUUUUUUUUUUAAUUUAUUAGGCGUCGGUCUUCAUUCCGUGUCCACUAUAUUUGUUUAAUCCACUGUUGUGCCUGUCCAUAUCCAAAUCGCACAUAUUCAGCUUUCUGUCGAACUGUGCGUCAAAGCUCACAAUUGUGUAUUAUUUUUUUUUCUUUUAUUUUGAAAGGCUCUUACAAUUAAUAAAAUAAUUAGUAAAUAAAAUUGGUAUCACCAGUAGGAUUAAGAAAAUAAUCGAAGAAAUUUUAGACAUUCUGCAAUUUGAAAAUACUCGGGCAAAAAAAAAAAACUAAAGACAAAAUAAAAUUAUUUUGUUACCACAGAUUUUCCCCUCGGAACACUACAGUGAAUAUCCUCAUCGUCACUCAAAUCCAACUCCACUACAUUAGCGCGGCAUUUGCGUUUCUGCGGUUGAGGCGAGUCGUCAACAACAUUAAUGUAGUUUCUCGAAGCGUCCUCGUUAUCCGCAUCGGCAUCCGGAGCAACGGUUUUGUCAAGCACGUGCGUCAAGGUUCCGCACGCUUGUGAUUCCAUUUCCUGAAGGUCAUCCCAAUCUUCAGUAGCCUGCAUAGACUCCGCUAGAGUCGCGAUAAAAUCGUCGCCGCAGUGCUCGACGGUGACGAAAUCGCGACCGUCUUCUCCUGAACAUAAAAAAAAAAAGGAAGCAAGUUCAGUUAACAGCGUUACGUUGCACUGAAUUGCAUUGCAGAGAAUUUGAAAUGAAAGCGAAUUGAAGUUUAGGUGGCGUAUUUACCGUAGAGAUCGAUGAGACGGUGGAGGCAUUUGUUGGCGGAGGAUUCGUCAAAACCGAAUUCGAGUGCUAAACUGAUUAAGCGAGCUUUCUCUAACUCCAGAUCUUGGUUUUUCUUCCUGCUACAGCUUCCCAUUUCGGUUCCCGCGCUUUUUUCGUCUUUCAAUUCAGUUUAGCUCUCGACGCUUCUGCUAUGCUCCCAGGUUUAAGAGAAGGUUGGGUGGAAGCACGCGCUUUGCCUCUUGCUUAGACAAAAGGCGCUGUUUUGCUUUGUAUUUUCUAUAUCUCACUUUACUUUUUUAAUUAUUAAUAUUAUUUUUCUUAUAUUUAUAAUUUUCAAAUUAUUUACAUCUUUUAAAGGUAUAAUAGUUACCUUUUCAUUUAUUUUAAAAUAUAAAAGUUCAUAAAUUCCUCUUUUUUUAAUAGUGAUGUGUAAAAUGAAUAUUUAAUGAAAAACCAAAUAUACUUGUAUAUCUUUGUAAUAACUUUAAUUAAAAAUUGAAUUUAUAGCUGAACAGUGUUAUGAUAAGAUUAAAAAAAUUAGUAAAAUUAUUCUAUAUAUUUUUCUUUCCGUUUACAUUUUUUUUUCAAUUUUAAUCAUUAUUUUAAAUUAAAAUAAAUAUACUUUUUUUUAUCCCUUAGAUAGUUGUUAAUUUAAAUUUAUAUUUUUAAAUUAAAAUAAUUAUUUUAUCUUUUAAUCACUAUUUAUUUAAUUUAAAUUGUUUAUUGAGUUAAAUUAAUCAUCUAAAAAGAAAAAAACACAUGUGAGAACAUAGAGAAUAAAGUAUUAAAGUUGAUAAGUGUUUUAAAAUAAUAAGAUCAAAUAUUAUAAAGUUAAAAUAAUUUGAUAAUAUAAAUAGAAUUUAUUAAACAUGUCUCAUCAUUUAAGACACUCGUUUUUUUCUCUAAAAACUCUUUUUCUCAAAGUUCUUUACCUUCCCUUUACCUUAUCUAACUCUUGAGUUAUCUUUAACAAUCAGAAGUGUCUAAACAAUCACACCAACGAGGUCUACAUUUCUAUUCUAUUAGUUUUUUUUUUAGAAUAACUAAGUUUCUACUCUAUUUUUUUCCUUUUCUUCUUUUCUAUGAUCAUGCUUAAGAACUCCUUCACAUGUAUCAUUUGUGGGUUAUUCUUGGUUUUUUGUUAAUCCGUAGUCCUAAGGACUCACUUUGAUCAUUUGGUGACUUGUAGGCAUUUCUAGAGUUCAAUGAGCUCGAAGCAAGGGUAGAGUACUAUGUAGAGCUUGAUAGCGAUCUCUCUAAGGUAAGGGAAGCUAGUGUUUGUAUUUAAAUUGAAUUAUAAAGUAUGAAAUUGUCACUGCGAGCAUGUAUGUUGUUGAAUAUAGAAUUGCUUAUGUGUAAAAUGUUUGUUUUGGUGUUAAUUGUGUUUGAUUGAGGAAUAUGAAUGAACGAUGGUUGAUUCUUUGUGUGAUUACUAUAUAAACUUGGAAUAAACCUGUGAAUGCAAUUGGCAUGAUGGUAUUAGUGUUAAUUUUUGGUUAAAAUGAUUAAAAGGAAAGGUAUGAAUAGAAUUAUAGGUCAAAUUUGGUCUAGAAUGGAGGUUUUAAAGGUGAUUUUCUAAAAUAUUGGUCUAAGAUGAGAAUUUGUGGUUUAAUACAAUUAAUUUUGUCUUUUGUGACUUGUUUAGGAUGUGAGUCAGCUAAUAUGAGUUUUAGGAAGGAAUGAUAGUCAUUUUUGUUUUGUUUGAAUUGUCGUUUAAGUGUAUUUAGGGGUUUUAACAAUAAAAUUUUUAAGAUAAUGGUUAAAUGGAAAAAUAAGAAGUUUAAGGUCAGUUCUUAAGUCAUUCAGGAUUUGUUUAGAUGUUGAGUUAGGUAAAAUUCGAGGUGAAACUGUUAAUUAGUUCAUAUGUUGUUUUCUAUCACAUUUUGGUUCAUUUUUAAAGCUUAUAACUAGUAAAAAUCUAAAGUAUAGAGACUAUGAUGAAAAUGAGGUAUUAAGGUAUGUUAUUGAGUCCAUUAUGACUUGUUCAAACCUCUAAUUUGUAAAAUUUAGUAUUAAAAGGUGUAAAUUUGAGUUUGGGGUACUUUUGGAGAUGUAAAAAAUGAUUAAAGGAGUACUUAGAUUUAUCUAUAAACGUGUUUUCACAUCAACUCUAAUGUUUAAAGAACAAAUUUAAUCAUUCGAACAAGUCUCAGGUGCGUCAAAUCCAUAAAGCAUAGUUUGUUGUCAUUCGAUAUGGUGCCUGAGCACCCCUUUUUGGGUGCUUGAGCAUCACAUUCCAAUGGCACUAGCGUUGAGCGCUACUCUAUAGGUCUUGGGUUAGGUUAUUUUAUGUCGUCUUGUGAUCUUUUCUUACAUUGUUUCAUGAUCUUUUGGAUGGAUAUGUAAUGGUUUCAUGUGAUUGCUUACUGUAUUUAUGUGAAGUAUAUGUCUAUGAUUAUGUGGGAUAUAUAAUGAUGCUAAGUAUGUUGUUGAUCAUGUGCAUGGUAGAUAAACGUAAUUCCAUGAGCUUGUGGAGAGGUUCCAUGGUGGUGUCUUAUAUAGUCUUGAUAUGAAUGUAGGGAGCUCAGUUUUUGAGAUUAUCCUGCAUUCUAAUGACCAUCCAUUCUCAAGUAAGAAGGGCUGAGACAUGUGAUGAGAGUACCAGAAGGUUAAUGGUUGUAUUAAACUAUAAUCAAUAGUUAUAUAAAUAAAUUAUAGUCAAUAAUUUUAUUAAACUAUAUAUUAUAUAUUUUAUUUAAUAAUAUAAUAGUAAAUAUAAUAUAAAAAUAUUGAUUUAAAUAUAAUAAAAUUUCAGCAUAUUAAACUAUUUAAUAAAAUAUAUAAUUUUACAAGUCUACAUAAACAAUACAUUAAUAACGUUAAAUAUAAUAACUGAGAAUAUAUAUUAAAAUAAAUAUAUUACAAUAUAUAUAUAUAUAUAUAUAUAUAUAUAUAUAUAUAUAUAUAUAUAUAUAUAACUUUUCAAUUGAGUAAGUUAGUAUUUCAAUUGAAAAAGUUAUGAAAAAAAAAAGGAAAAAAAUUGAGGUAAAUUAGUAUUAGUAACUAGCCCACUAAAAUUCUGUCCCUACUCCUUCCAUAUAGGGGUUUUGGAACUAGAACUUUCAUAUAGGGGCAAAAAAAAAAGAGUCUAUUUUUAGGAAGGGUGAGAUUGAACCCAUACAUGAUGGACCUAAAUGACACCUUUACAUAGAACAACUAUACAGUAUUAUAGAGCUAGGUGACGCAAGAUGAAGUCGAAUGCAUUAUUAAACCAAAGUGGAAACGACUUUUAUGCAUGCGAUCUUAAAGGUGCGAAAUCCCUCCUUGAGAGAGGACUUGACCUUGCCUUUGGUUUCGUAACGCUUGUAUUUUGCCACUCUGCGUCUUCUCUUAGCUUCAUGAUCAUUCCAGUCCGGUUUCAAGGGAGGUGGACUACGUUUUCUUUCUCUCCUUGCAUCGGAUAACACACCAGGAGAUGCUCUCUCCCUGCUCCUUGCUAUCCUAAUUUGGUUUUCAUCUGUGAUUUUCACUAUCUUCGCCUGUGGCUGGAUAUCUGUCCUCAUUGGCGGCUCCUUCAUCACUGCCAUCUCUUAUCUGCUCUCAAAAUUCUAUUGCUAUCCCUCUCAAUCUCCCCUUUUAUAUGUGAAGCAUUAGAUAGAGAGAAAGAGAGGACACUGAAAUUCAAGAGACUUGAAAUGCUGGGAUUUGCGUUUCAUAUAUAUGAAUUUUGUUUAUGAUAAAGAAGGAAUGAGAUGAAUGGAGGAAGUCAUCCCUAGCUGCAAUAAGAGUGGAAUACCACUCUGAAUUUAGCCUCUCAGCUACAUCAUAUAAGUUUUCUUAUAAGAAACUAAAAAUAUAAGUUUCAUCCAGCCUAUUUUGGGCAUCACCUUAAAUACCCGUAAUUGAGCCUGGCAAAUAUAGCAUUUCGUAACACAAAAAUAUUCUUCUCAUUUAAAAAAAGGUGAAACCUUUUACACCAUCUUUAUAAAGAAAAUCACAUUUUCUAACUCUAGAACUAAGUUUUGUCCGUUGAACACCUCUAGUAGUAGAAAAUGCCAUGGAACAAAAAACUUUUAUAUAAGACAAAUCUGGUAUGACAUUAUAAAUAAUUUGAUAUGGUGAUUUAUUAUGUAAAUGUGGAGUAGGAGUUUUAUUUGUUAAAUGAACAAAGUGCUUGAUAACAUAUGAUAAAAAAACAAAUAGGCAAUUGAAAUUGAAAAACUAGUGCACGAGUAACAAUCAAAAUAUAUUGAUGUCUGUGUUCAACAUUACUAUUUUGUUGUGUUGUUUCCAUACGACUAUGUGGACGAACAAUCCCUUUAUUAAAGAAAUUAGUCAUAAGGAAUUCGGCUUCAUUGUCACUUCUUAAUAUUUUUAAAUGACUAUUAAACUAAUUUUCCAUUGUAGUGAUGAAAUGUCUCAGCUUUGGUUUUCAUUAAGCAAACCCAAGUAAAUCGAGAAAAAUAAUCUACAAUAGUUAAAAAAUAUUUAUAUCCUUCAACAGAAACAUGAUGCAAAGGAUCAUAAACCUGCUGCUUCUCAAACUAAGAUUGAUAGAUAUAACUCUCGUUUGGUAUUGUUCUAUAUUUCUUGGGGUUUGAAAUAAGUUGUUCAUCUUGUAGUAUUGUUCUCAAUCAACGAAAGUAUUGUUUUGAUCUCCUUUUUGAUAGUAGUUUACUGGCUUGUAAACCUACUACUUCUCCCAUGAGACCAUCUUGUUCUCUGUCUGAUGGUGAAGGUUUGUUGCUUUCGGAUCUUGGUGAAUAUAGAAGAUUGAUUGGACGUUUUGUUAUACCUCACUCACACUAGGCCAAACAUUAGUUUCGCAGUUCAUAAACUCACUCAGUUUGUUUCAAAUCCGUGAGAACCUCAUAUGACAGCAACUCUUUGUGUAUUAAGAUAUUUGAAAGGAUGUCCAGGCCUUGGUUUAUUCUUUUCCAAUGAUAAUCAAAUUGUUAUCAAAGUUUUUUCUGAUUUUGAUUGGAGAACUUGUGUUGAUUCAAGAAAAUCUAUUAUUGGUUAUUGUGUGUUCCUGGGGAAACUCUUUAAUUUUGCUAGUCUAAAAAACAGUUUACAAUGUCUAGAUCUUCUUCUAAACCAAAAUAUAUAGUACUAGCUUCGCUUGUCUGUAAACUUCAGUGGUUGCAAUAUUUAUGUCAAGAUUUGCAUACUGACAUUUUUAUAAUCUUUUGUUUUCUAUUGUGAUAACGAAUAUGCUAUUUCCAUAACUAAGAAUCCCACAUUUCAUGAAAGAAAAAAGCAUGUUAAAAUCGAUUAUCAUUUUAUUCGAAUUAAACUUUAAGAAGACCUUAUUCAUUUACUUCCUAUUUCUUCUUCUAAUCAAGUGGCUGAGAUGUUGACCAAACCUUUGCAUCCUCGGAAGUUUCGUGACAACUUAUCCAAGCUAAACAUGAAAGACAUCCAUGCUCUAGCUUGUGUGACACUAUAAGAUAAUAAUUAAAUAUCUUAUAUAUCUUAUAUGAAUUUUUCAAUUUUGAUUAUAUUAGUUUGUUUUCAGUUUUGAUUAUAUUGUAACUCCAUUAUCAAUUAUCAGUUGUAAUUAUAUAUAUUAUUUGGUUUUCCUAUUCUUUAAAUAGAUGUAGAUCUAGAAGUGUAAAGGUUAUCAGAUUAAUAAAAUAUUUGUACUUAUACAUGUCUAUUUCUUCUUGGGUAGAAAUGAAGUUUAUAUACUGAUGAUAUAUUUACCAAAAGAAAAAGAUAAUAUUCAAUGAAAUUAAUGAUCCUAAUGAAAGUUUGUUAUUUUUCCACAUAAAGUUUUCCAUAUAUACAAAAUGGAUCUUAGUUCAGGACGAAUGCUUGCUGGUAUCGUUUUCCGUGUCUACAACUUUCGGUGUAUGUUUCUUGGAUUUCUUGCCGUUUUCAUUGCGGGAUACCUAUUUGACAGUUAACAAACAGUAUAAAUCGAUAAUCAUGCGUGCGGUUUUGUUCUUAUGCGUGGUUCUAAAGGUUUAGCUGAGUAAAUCAAAAUUGUGAAACUAUUAAAGACAAAGAAAAGGCGUGAACAGAAAAAAAAUAAAGUUUGCAAUAAAGGAAAAUAGGCAGAAAAGAGGUAUAAUAACAUACUAUGAAAGACUUCCACUCGGGUUUAUCAUGUCCAUGACCAGGAAGAUGGCGGAAUAUGUGAACAAGAACAACAGCAUCCAGAGCAGCAUAUUCCAACUGCACAUGUAGAAUAGCGUUAACUGAAUGACUGGCUUCAAAUGUAUAGCAGUCGUUCAUUCUUAUCUUACACUUCUAAAUUUCUUUAGAAAUCAUAAAUCAUAUAUACAGUGUAAUUUGAAUCAUUCAAUCCAGCAUGGAAAACAAUAAAAUUUUGUUCAGUACAUGUAGGUGAAUUGCAUACUAGGAAUUAUACAUAAACAUUCGAAGCCAAUGUCACAAAUGCAUCUUCAGAUAAGUUUUAAGAAUAUAGAUAUCAGUAAUGGAUAACAAUGAAUAAAGGGAAGCAAUUACUUGAUUUGGAGUUAAUGGUCGUUGCUCCCAAUUGCUGUUUCGUCUUGUCUUGUUUAAACUAGCUCCCAAUAUUUUCUGAUUUACCAUUAACAACACUAAGUUUCGUCAAAAUAAGCUAACAGGAAAAAACCAAGGGUUUUGAUAACUAUCCCUCUACAAAUAUUAAAACUACUUUAAGGAGACACGAAAAGAGAAAUUCAUACACACACUACCUCCGUAAGCCCAGCCAAACCACCCCGGAGUCCUUUAAAAAUAUUCUGGAUAUCCAGUAACAUUUCAUAGUUCUUGAAACACCUCAAUUCUUCAUAUGAGUGAGAAAGUUGCCUUACAUCGCAUUGGAAAUUAUAGCCUGAAAAAUACAAGCCGUUGGACAUGAAUGGUUACUAGUUGAGAUUUACAAAACGAAACCAAUGUCUUGAGAAUGUUCCUUUACAAUUGAAAUAAUAUAAUGCUUAUCAAAGCCCAACAACGGCAGCACUCUCACUCAGGUUAAAGUAAUAAUUUAAAGUUAAGAAUCAAUCUUGUCCACCAAAACUAUUUGCUAAUAAUUCAAAGACUAAUGUUUAGAAUUUUCAUACCAAGUUUUAGAAUUCUAGGUGACAGCAGAAUGCGAGAUAGGCAAUCAUCUAAAAUGUCAGGUACUUCUUUGUGUAACUUUAUUAGAUCAAAGAUAAAAACCAUCUUUUCAGAAGCAAUUUGCAAGAUAGAAACCUGAAACAUGGAAAUUCAAAAAGAAAAGGAAAGGGGAGAAUGAAGCGUUCGGUUUCUGAUUAGGAAAUGUCACAGCUCUGAAGACUAAAACCCAGAUAUAUUGAUUUUCAAAGAAUUUAAAUAAACAGAGAAAGAAAGAUGUAAAAGCAUUCAAAGCAGGAAGAUCGCUUACCUUGUUUGGUUUGCUACCUUUCACAUAAUUGGGUUUCCAUUCACAAUCAAGACCUACAACGUUAAACCCUUCAAUAUGCCUUGUUGCAUCAAACAAAAUUUCCGCUUCAUCAACCCAAAUGAUGUUUUCAACCAAUAACUCGUCAAGACAUAAAUAUCGCCCUUGCAGAUUACUUGUUUCUGGUACUGGAGCACAUAAAACAGUUUUCUGUUCAUCAUUUGAGAAUAUAUAGACACUUUACAUAACAAUAUAGUUAAUGAAGUAAAAUGGUAUUAACAUCAACGUAAGAAUAUUGAUAACAAAGACUACAAAAAACUGAUUUCAGGGAUACAAGAUUAUUUUUUUUUAAAAAUGACUGAAUAUAUUAAAAACCGAACUAUUUGAUGCAGAAGAAGAAUAAGCAACCAACUCUCUUAAUGGUUAUGGAAUUUUUGUAUUAUUUAGAAUGCAAUAUUUUCAUCAUUUACUAAUUUUCAUUGCGCAUAUCAAUUUGGCUUACCUCCGGUAUCCAAAAACCUCUCCAGGGAGUACCGAUGACAUAGUUCAUCAACUUUCUCUGUGUAACCAGCUUCCAUUGCCAAAUAAACCUUUAAAAAGUAAACUUAAAAUAUUAUACUACUAUACAUAUUUGAAAAUUAUGCUGGGGCUAUAAGGCUAAAACUUCCAACAAAAACUAACACUCAACGAGUACUAUUUUUUCCAAAAAGUUAAAUAAAAGAAUUAUAGUACUUAUAACAUCUUUUCAAUACAAUGCAGAACCAGCGUAUUACUGUUUUGUUUCUAUGCCUGUGUUCUGUAUCCAUUUUAAAAAUGAAACCAUCACAAUUUCCGAUUGAGAAACUGAUGCAUCAAUAAGAUAUCCUAGACACUUCAGAUUGUACAAUCCCAGCCAAAAUUGGACAUGAUGGGCUCACGAGACCUCCCUAUUUUGAAUUUGACAACUUCACAGCCUUCCUGUAAUUAGUAUAUCCACCCUAACCAAUUCUACUAGCAAAGUGUCAGAUGAUACCUAAUAAUCAAGCUAAAAUUAUGCUUGGGUGCCUGUGCAUUAUGUAUCUGAUAUACAGGUUAAAGAGCUGUAGAAAAAAAACCAACCACGUAUUCUGGGAGGUGACUCUUAGUCAUGUUACUUUAACCACCCAUCAGUUUGUAACAAAAAAAUGAGUGCACCACCUGAAAGUUCCUUGUCUUAACUAGUGGGUUCCAUAGUUCAAAUAUCAACAGGCUAGCAGUGGUUUAGAAAGUCACGGAUCUACUGAGAAAUAAUCUUACCUUUGCAAAAUAUAUUUAAACAAAAUAGGUCAUCAAAUAUAUAAUUUAGGAAAUAUACAUGAUCCUUCAUCGUAUUUUUGCAAAACUGAGAACUCACAUGGCCUAAAUGGCCCAUUACACAAUAAAAAAAAUGUUUGUUCAAGUUUUCAUGAGGAAUAAAUCCAAAUAAGAAGAUACAAAGCUUAACGGUAAAAAUUACACCUAAAGGUCGUCCAACAAGGACUGCAGAAAACACCAUACAACUAAAGCAGAAAAAGAAACAAAUUGUCUAAAUGUCUUCUGUAAGCAACACAAUCAAAACAACAAAUGAAUAGAAAUUCAAGACCACAAGUGCAUAAAUACAAUGACAAAACUAAUCAAUAUUAGACUAUAAAGGACAUAGUUUAAAAAUUAAGCAUUAGCUAUUACACAGUUUCUAGAAGUAUAUAUCUAUCUAAGUAUGUACAUAUAGAAUGGCAGUCGGUGUCAAAGAGCAAUUAAAAACUAACCAAAUAUUCCAUAAGGUGCAUAUCAUUGUUUAUUUUUGCCUCAGCAACAUCCCAACAUCCUUUUUCUGCUAAGUUUUUUAGAGAGCUGCAAAUUAACAAGUUAUUUUGUUAAAUAAAAAUUUAAAAACCUUAAGGGGUUGCAAAAUUGGAUUCAAGAUGCUAUGUACAAAUCAAAACAACACUAAAUCAUCCCCAUGUAAACCAGUACAAAUCAUUUACCUUUCCUUAGACCUUUUGUAUAUGUCUGGAAAAUCCUGCUUUAGAUUAUUUUUCUUUAUAAUCUCAUAUGCAUUCUUUAGCAUGUUCCUCUCAGUGAACUCAUUUACAAGUAUGGAUAACAUUGGUUUCCCCAUAUAUGUUGCCCACUUCUCUGCUGCUUUGAAUUGAUUACUCUGUAUCAUAUCAAGGAGAAAAGACUGGCCAUAACGGUAGAUAGAGAAUUGCUCUAUUAAAGUUACAGCUGUCAUGUACAACUGGGAUUUUACCAAAGUAACAAUAUACUCUUCUACCAAUUCUUUUGCUAAGCCACAACUUGAAUCAUGUUUUUCCUUAAGUUGGCACAUUGCUUUCUCAAUAUUAGUUAGUUUUAUAUCAAAAAUCUCGACUAGCUUCAUGACUAUCUUUUCAUCGUGAUAGAUCUGGCCCCUCAUAACAUCUACAAUUAGAUGUGCUACCAAGUCUUUCACCUCCAAUGAGUUUUCUGUAGUGGUUGAUCUUUUUAGGAAUCGGCGAAGAGCAGAUACUAUCAUAUGAGUAAAUCCUUGACUAUGAUCUUCAAAUAAUGGAGACACAUACAUGCAAUGAACAAUAAAAGUUGCUGGUCCAGGUUUGGGAUCAUUAUGGAGAACAAGAUGUAUUUGAUUUUGGAGGGCUCUGAAUUUUGCAGUUGCCUUACAUGUACCUAUGCAAUGGCAUUUGAAAAGAAACAACAAUGAAUAGCAAGAAGGAUAAACCAUUACUGAGUCCUACACAAACUUCAAUGGUCAUUUAGCAUUUAUUAUUAAAGUUAAAAUUAGUGUUGGUGGCAAACAUGCUGACCAUGAAAAUAGAUAAAGGUACAAUGUCAAGGCUUUUGGGGUUGAGAAAUGCUAACAACACAGUCGGUUGAACACAUUCUGUUUUAUUGGUUGAAAUUUACGAAAAAUCAAUGAUAUUUGACAGGUUCCACAUCAUAUUUAAUUAAUUUUCUUCUAAUUUAAAAGUUUUUAAUAAAUUUCAGUCUAUUAAAAAAAAAUGUGUUUCCUAGCAUUCAGCUUUGGGGUUUCCGAAUUUGCAAUUGUGACCAUAUCAGCUGCAUUUGCCCACAAUUUUUUUCACAACACCGCAAAUUGCAAAAAACCAGCAACCACCACAACAGUAAUUUAAAACCUUGACAAUAGCAUUGAUAUCCAGUCUGUGUGGGCACAAGGCUAAAUUAAAGAAAAACAAACUACUAAAAAGGUUUAAACGAACCAUUUUAACAAACACUUAGCAUUCAUCAUCAUAUUAUCUCGUUUCAAACAAUUUCUAGCCUUUGAAGGAAAAGAAAUCAUACCGUAAUAAUAAUAUUCUUUCAGCAAAACCAUAAAUACCACGGGAGAGACAUGCGUUAAAUCAUAAAAAGCAUGUGUACACAAGGUCCAAGUUUGGCUAGCAUUGUCCUUGUUGCAUGUCUUUGCUACUUUCUCCUCCAAACCCAUCACUCGUAAAAACUUCAAUUAGAGCAGCAAUGCCUUAGAUAUGUAUCUUAACACUGUAAACUCCUUAUCAUAAAUUGAACAGAGCAUCUCAUAUAUCUAUUGUAAAGUUUGCUUUGAAAUGAAUGGCUCCUCCACUUAAGCAAAACUAGAAUACAUAACCAAAUUGAAACCAGCAUUCUUCUUAUAUUUACACACAUGCAAACAAUUAAUUCCACAAUAGCAUGUCGGUGACUCAAAUAGAUCAUUUUUUUGCUGCAAUACUUGAAAACAUGAAAAUAUAAAAGAGGGACAUAAAAAAGCAGGAGUACCAAUUAUCUCUCAGUUCACUUCUAUUUUUCGAAAUUCAGAGGCUCUGAUGAUUAUGUAGAAUUGAUUUGAUUACAGAAAACCUUAGACUCUUAACCCACAUCUUAACCCACAUCGUGUUUGGAUAUGAGUUCAGAGAAGAAACAUUAAAAAAUUAAUAAAUUAAAAAAGGUUCCUUACUGUUGCUUUUCUCUCUUAUUUUAAAUAUUACAAGAAAAAGAACACAUGCAGCCGAAACAAAAGAGACCAAGCUUUGAAGAAAAAAAUAAAUAAAAGAAGAAAAAGAAAACAGAACAGUAGAAUAAGAGAAGAAGGAGAAGAAACUCACAAACUGCAGUUGAAACCAAUUCGACAGGAAAAAAUUGCAGACAGUAGGGUUAUGAAGCUCUGUAUUUCUUCUGCUUUGACUCUCUCUAUAUAUACAUUCAUAAAUACCAAUAUAUAUAUAUAUAUAUAUAUAUAUAUAUAUAUAUAUAUCAUUAAUUUAUCAUGAUCAUGAUCAGAUUUGAAGAAAAAGAUUAGCGGAGGAAGAGGGGUGAUUAUUUUAAAUAAUAUAUUAAUCUUUGAUAUGAUUUUAAUAAAUAAAUAAAAUUGUAAGACCUUGUCAGUUUAACUUGCAGCAUGUAACCUCUUCUUCUUUUUUUUGGUCAAAAUGUAAAAAAAAAAAAAAAAAUUGAUUCCAUCGGGCCCACAAGAUUUUUUCAUAAAGGCAAACGGUAAAAUAACCUUAAAAAAAAGGACCGGCAUCGUAUUUUCUUAAAGUUGGCUGGUCUGGCUGGGCCUUUGAAAGUGAAGCUGCUGAUUUGAAGCCCAUGUGCGGAUUAAUGAAAUGCAGCGUUUCAUGUUGCUGCAAAGAGGCAAAGCUGAUGGGGUAUUCUUUCUCACGUUCAUUCGCACAGAGUUUUACUCAUUUGGGGAUUUUCUCCCAAUUCUCUCAACCCUCGUUAGGAUUCGCGAGCCAGCAAACAUGACGAAGCAUAGAAGCACUCCAUGGGUCGAGUUGGAAGACGAUCAGAAGCGCUGCGGCCCAAAGAAAAAACCCAAGAUGUUGACCGGUCCGAUGAGCUGUGCUGAGCUGGAUUGACGGUUGAAGAACAAAGCAUAGUUAGUUGAAGGAUACUCCAGAAUAUUCGAAGUUUGUUUUCAGUUCUUUCCCCUUUCCCUCUUUUCUUUUCUGUUAUGGACUUUCUCUAUAAAAGGAAGUCUUGUAAUGAACAAUGUAAGUGCACUGGAUGACAGACUUUGCACUUAGCUUAAGAUUUUUAAUUCUUGCUUUUAGUUUUAGAAUUUAAAGCUUUCGUAGAUACGCUCUUUGCUACACUGGGGUUCUUGGAGCUUUCCAUUGGGUGACAGUGGGAUUGAGAAACUGGUACCUUUUAUUUCCAAUUUUAUGUUCUUGCAAUGAGAAUUUUAAAUUUGAUUCAGUUUACAGCUUUACUUGUUCAUUAAUUCCAUUUACAUUUUCUGCUCUUUAGAUUUCGAUUCCUGAAAUUACUUUUAUGAUUCAGUUUCUUGUUUUUAGUUUUCUUUUAUUGCUUCUUAUUCUGUUUCAUUUCUUUUAGUCUGUUUCAUUCAUCUCUGUUUAGUUAGUUUGCUUUCACCAAUUGAUUGUACAUAUUAGAUGUUAGGUUUUGAUUCUGUGUUAGAGUUUUGGUAAAUUUUUGUAGUUGAAUUUGACUUGAAAUUUAAAGAAGACUAUGCACAUCAAUAUUGUCUUGAUUAGAUGCUACAUGACUGUUAUUCAAGAUGUCUUCUUGAGACAUAGGUUGCUUUAAGAUUUCAAGUUUAAAUUCAAUAACAAAUAUGUGUUUGACCACUUCUUUUCUGAUAUGUGAUUAGGAUUAGAUAUAAAUUCUGUUUUCUUUGGUUGCUUUUAAAAUUCCAAAUUUCUGUUACUUUGAUCAUUCACCUUGGCAAAUUUGGUUCAUUAUAGGUUCUAUGUUUUUCUCUUUCAUUCAGAUGAGUAUCCAAUUAAAGUUUCUUUCUAUUGCUUGUUUUUGAAUAGGUAGCGGUAGAUUUUAGAUUCUGUUAUGUUUGGGUUCUUUGCUUGCAUUAGUGUAUCAUUUUAGGAUAAAAGUCAUGCAUUACUUUCCUUUCUAUUCAUUUACUCAUUCAUGCAUCAUUCAUUAAAUUUCUUCCUUAUCAAUGCAUCUCUAUUCUUUAUAUAGUUUCUGUUUUCAUCUCAUUAUCUUGCAUUCAUUUAGAUUUAGUAGAUGUAUGCAUUAUUAGUUUUUUUUUUUUUUAUAUUAGGUUUCAUUUUACAUUUCACUUUCCCCACCUAGUUUUAGUUUUAGUAAAUAAAUAAAUAGGUUUUAAUUCUAUAUUUUCUAAACUUAACAAGUACCAAGUUCACGGAUUAUAUCCUAGGCGAUAAAAAUUCUUUCAACAAAUGGCGCCGUUGUCGGGGACUUUGGCGACUUAAGUUUCAGAUUGUAGAGUUAGCCUUGUAGUUUUCUAAUUUUCUUUUUUGUGUGUAUAGCAUUAGCUUCUGAAUUUAAAAAAAAAAAUAUUUGUAAAUAGUGGUUUCUUUGCAUGUUAUGGUUUUGCGUGUUGGUAUAAUCUCUGCUUGAAGUGUAGUCCAGGUUGAAAACAGGUUUUGCAACAGACAUCAGAAUUGAAGAGAUGAUUGGUUCUCAGGACUGGCUAUACAAGCUGAUUAAGAGAACACCCAAGUUCCAUGGGUUAGCACAUUAAGACCUACACAAGCACAUCAAAGAGUUUAGCUGGGUGUGCUCCUCCAUGAAGCCUGCUGGAGUUCCAGAGGAAGCAGUGAUGGUGAAGACAUUUUGAAUGUCUCUGCAAGGUGCAGCAAGAGACUGGUUCAUAUAUCAACAGUACCAUCUUGAUAGCUGGCAGGAGAUGCAGCAGAGGUUCCUCAACAAGUACUUUCCAGUAGCUAAAGGAGUUAACCUCAGGAGGGAGAUCACUGCUAUUGCCCAGUCUCAAGAAGAGGGUCUGGCUAAAUACUGGGAGAGGUUCAAAGUGAUUUGUACAGCUUGCCCCAACCACCAGAUUUCAGAGCCCAGACUUCUAUUCUACUUUUAUGAGGACCUAAUCUACAAAGACAAGGUGUUGGUUGAUGCAGCAGCUGGAGGCUCUCUGCUGGACAAGACCCCAACUGAGGUAAGAAAGUUGUUGUGCAAGCUAGCGGGAAAUGAUCCUAAUGAUGCAACUGUGAAUCAAGAAAACAGGUUUUCUCUGAACUGAAUAUUCCAAUUAAUAUUGAUAAGGUUCAACAUCAUUUUAAUGCUUUUGAUCUGUUUAAAGUUGAAGCCAUAGAACCUGUUUUGGAUCUUAUUCCUGUUAUGCAUUUGCAUAGUCUUGAUUCAGCAUUUGACAUAGAACACAUUGAUAUAUCUAUUGUUGUUUCAGAUUUAUGGACUGAUUUUGACACUGUUUCAAUUGAUGAUAGUCUUUCAACGUGUGGAGAUGCAAUCUCUGAGUUUGUGUAUACUGGUGAGAUUGUUUUUGAUGAACCAGUACAGAUUGACUUUGACUUUAAUCCUACCACUAGUUUAUUUGAAAUUCCUUCUGCCUUCAAUAUCUUGCAUGCAUUGCCUGUUAUACAUGCUGAUUCUAUUCAUUCUAAAUUGCUAGAGGAUAUUUUUGUUGUGAAUCAAUUGAAUGCACCUGCUUUUAUGAGUGCUCUGAUUUUAAUGAAGUGAUUUCUGAUGAUCUGUUUGAUAAUAUGCUGGGUGAUUUUGAUUUCAAUCUUGACAAAGUUGCACUAUUUGAUGAUUCACCCAUGGACUUUGGUUUGGCAGUUGAUACACUUGUUGCAGACACUAAUUUCAAGGGAAAUGCAGAGACAAAGGAAGUCUUGGUGGAGGCAGGGGAUGGUCUCAAUGAGACUCAAGGACCCUCGAACGUACAGAAUCAGCCAGAGUUGAAUGGAGAGUUGGGGUUGCUGCAAUGGAGAGCUGAGAAGAAUGAAUUCAGUGCAAUCCUGGAAAAUCUGCAUAGAGGAGCCAAACACAAGAAACCAAAAACAAUAAGCUCUUUCUUGUCCUUUCUUUUAAAUAGUAGUUAUAGGUCUUUUAUAGUAACUAGUAUAGUAAUAGGCAGUGUAGACAAUAAUAUGAUAGAAAAUAUGAUGUUCUAUAUAAAAAUUAAAAAGAUCGAUUUUGAUGUGUGACCCAUUUGAACAAGUUUUCCUUUUCUUUUAGCGUUAUAAUUUUAGUUUUUGUAUUUUUCAGUUUAUGUUUUGUACAUUUCUUGUCAGUUUGUGUUCUUUCUCAACUUUGUUUUGUAUAAAUCUGUUCUGUCUAUCUUGUACAUUCCUGUGGUUGUUCUGUGUUGUUAAAAAAAACCUUACUCACACAUUGAGGGCAAUGUGCCUCUUAAGUGUGGGGUUGAGAAGGUAUAGAUGUAAAUACUUGUUUUUACUUUAAUGUGCAUAUGUUAGUAUGAGUUUUGUAGUGAAAAUAGGAGUAAAUUUUUUUUUCUUUCUAAGUUGAUUUUCUUUUUAGUUUAGGACUAGUUGAGUUUGUAAAUAUUUAGUUCAUAGAUAGUGUAAAUAGCCAUUCGUGUUUCAGGUUGUAAAUAAUUGUUUUUAGCAUGUAAAUACCCAGUUUUUUUUUAUGCUGUUAAAAUCUGUUUUAGUUUUUGUAGAUAGGCAUUUGUUUCAGUUUUUUUCCCUUAUAGGUUCUGUUUUUAAUUUCUGAGUCCUGUUCUGGUUUUUAGUAAUUUUCUAGGAUCUCUUCCAUUCAUUGUCAUUGUUUAGGAUCUUCUUAGGUCUUCUUUUGAUGUUUUCAUUAGUAUGUCUGUUUUAGUUUAGUUUAGGUUCUUCUAAGUUGCAUAUUGUUUUGUUUAGGUUUGGUUCAGAUUGUAUAUAGAGUUAGUAAAUCUGUUAGGCAUGUUUUUAGGUUCUUGUAGGUUCUGUUUGACAUGUUUUUUUUUUUUUUCAAUUCUUUGCUGAUUUACUUCAUUUCUUAGCUUCAUAUCUUUUGUUUAGAAUUGUUCAUAUAGUUUUCUGCUUUAAAUUCAAAUAGAAGUAGUCUUAGCAUUAUUUUUGCAUCUAAGUAUAGCUAAUGAAGCAAUUUUUUCAUAAAAGAGAGUAGCAAGUCACUUUUAGCAUUUCUUAACCUGGAGAGAUUUUGGGCCUGAUUUUUUUUUUCUUUCUAGUGUGAUUUCAUGUAUGUUUGACUUUUGAUUUUGAUUUUGCAUUGAUUCUUUGUGAAAAGCUUGCUCGUAAACUUUAGACAUGAUUUAGGCGUUCUUUUUCUUCAUCCAUAGCCACUUAGCUUAACCAUUUCAGUUUUAUCUAUUGUACCUUUCUUUUGAGCUGUAGCCUACUAUUCUUUGUCUCCAUUCAUUACAAGCCUUUUUUCCCCAGUACAUACCCGACCUGUAAAGACUUGUGAGAAUUAGGGGGAGCAAUAGAAAAGGCCAGAAGUGAAAGAAAAGAAAAAUAAGAUGAACAAUCUGGUUGUGUUGAAAAAAAAAAAAAAAAAGAAAAGAGCAGGUCUGGAAAAAAAAAAAAGAAAAAUGCAAAAGAAUUGAAAGAUAGGACCUGGCAGAAUUGAAAACCAGAGAAAGAAAGAAAAGAUUGGAUUGGCCUAAGUUAGACUUAAACAAAAAGUGUACUGAGUUCUAGGUUCCUUACUUUUCUUCACACUUUCUACUUCCAUAUAACCUUGUGUUUUCUAACCCUUCAUACCAUUACAUUAUAAGCCAAUAAAGUCCUUUUGAUCUAGAUGAAACCAAAGAGCUUAGCAUGGUCACUUAGAGUCUUUUCAAAGUUAAGAAUUGAGGUUGACAUGUCAUGCUUGAGUGAAACAGGACAGCCCUAAACACAUGAGUGAAAAUGAGUGCAAACACUUGUUCUUGUGAGGCUGAAACUGAUUUCUACUUUUCUGAUUGUGUUCAUUGCUGAAAUUGGCUGAAUUUGGUUGUUUAUUACUUGCUGGAUUUCUGUCACUGAGAUUUAAAGUUUAGAAAUAUAAUUGUGCAGUUCUGAUUGAAAAAGUGACUGGAAAUGAUUGAAACUGGCAGGAAUGAUUGAGUUGUGAAUGAGUCUUAUUGUUUUUGAGUUUUUGUUUUGAGUCUUUUCAUUUUGUAAAUUGAGUCUUUGUUUCCAUUUUAGUUUUUCCUAUUCAGGAGAGCAGUUCUCUAAGUAUGGGGUGUGAUAACUUCUAAAUUUCCUCCAUUUUUGUGUGAUAAUAAUAUGUUUUUAAGACAUUUUAGUUUUUAAUUCAUUAGAAAUAGUAUAGUUUAGUAUAAAUAGGAUAAAAAUAGGCUGUAAAUAGAAAUAGUGUUAAUUUUUCCUUUUUAAUUAAAUAAAAUAGUUUUUUUAAUAAUUAGGAAUUUUAUCUUUCAGAAAAAAUAUUAAGAAAGAUAAAUAAAAAAUUCUUUUUGCUUUUAUAGGCUUUUAAUCUUUCUUUUGUUUAAUUUUUUUAACUCUUUCUUUUUUCAGGAUAGCCCAGGUCAAAGGGUCAAAAAAUCUGGUCAAAAUAAGAUUGGGCUGAAGUGGGUAAAGCUGUCAAUGGCUGAUGAUACCUGGGCUGAAUUGAGAAUGGUCCAUUAUGAAGCUGGAAGUGCAACGUUUUGGGCUGAAGCUUAAUGACGCUACGCGUUUUAAGUGGAGAAAAAGGGCGUUGAAGCCUGCACCUCCCCUCCUUGGACCUCCACCUCCCCAUCCCAUUUUUAUCCUUUCUUUUUUUAUUUAUAAUUUUAAUAAUUAUUUAUAUUCCUAUUAUAUCCUUUAAUAAAAUCUAAUUUAUAGAUUAAUUUUAAUUUUAAUAUCUACAAAUAAACCUAACUUUUUUCUUUUCUCGAUUUACUCUCUGGUUUUUUCUCUUUCAUUUGGUUUUUCAAAUUCUUUUUGUUCUCUUUUCUUUGGGUGUCACAAAUUUUGUUCACUGUGUGAAAAUUUUCUUCUCAGAAUCGUUGGCAAUUUUUCUUCUCUUUCCAUGUUAUGACAUGUAUGUGAAAGGACUUUGACACCUAACUCAAUGUGUAAAUAUGUGUAAAUCAAUCAACUUUAGGCUGUCGAAGGAGAGUUGGACAAUGGAAACACUGUGAAAGAUCAUUGUCUGACAUGAAUUUGUCCAACAAAUGUUUAUCAGGCCCUAAACGUAUGUCGACAUCCGUCUGGCCCUGAAACGGAUGUUCAUAUCCGUCGACGAAUGUCCGACCUCCGUUAAUGACGGUCUUCUUCCUGUUGCGCGCAAACAAACCUCUACCAGAAACACAACACAAAACGAAACGAAGGGCGCACAAACAGAGCAAAAUGAAUACAAUCUAAAACCCUAAAUCACAUACAUUUAUAAACCAAGAAAUGAACACAAUGCGAAACGAAAACUAACCUCUCGACAGAAACGAAACGAAGCGCCGCACCACCGCCACACCACGCUGCACCGUCGCCGCUGCACCGCCGCACACACGCAGGCAAUGACGCAAGUACAGAUAGAUCGGAAAGGUUGAAACUUUUAAAAAAUCAAAGUGGAGCUUGGGGGGUGUGUGAAUGGGAAGGGAAGGGGAGGUGGAGAUGUUUUCGAAAAGUUUCGAAAGUGUGAGUGUGAAAGUGAAAAGUCUGUGAGUGAGUGUGAAAGUGAAAGGGUAAAGUGAAAAUUAAGACUAUUUAAUUAAGAGGGUUAAAAAAGUAAAAAUAAUAAAUUUAAAAGGUUAAUUUUGUAAUUAAUGAAAAGUUAAAAAAAAAUGGGGAGGUGUAGGUUUGAAAUGGGGAGGUGGAGGCAUCAAUGCCCGGAGAAAAAAAGGGGUGUUGAUCCCUCCACCUCCCCAUUUGUUACCUCUACCUUCCCAACUUUUUGAAUUUUAUUUUAAUUACAAAAUAAUUAUUUUUCUUCCUUUUUUAACCUUCUAUUUUUUUAACUAUUAACUUUCUUUUACAUUUGUUCCCUCCACCUCUCCCAUUAAAUUUUUACUUUUUAAUUACUGUUUACUUUUAUUCUAUUCAAAACUCCACCUCCAAAAUUUUUGAAUUUUUAAGAUCCGUUUUUCUUCUCCCAGUCACACUCUUCUCUUGGUUAUUUUUGGUCCAAAUUCUAAUAUUUAAAUUAACAAAGACAAAUUCUGACAAUCAAAAUACUUUUAUCUUGGUAAAAAUAAAUAUAUUAAUUAACUUUUCUAAUUUAUUAUAUUAUAUAUGAAUUGAAUUUCAAUAUUUUUAGUAUUGAAGUACAAAAUGAGUGUUUACUGUGCUGCAAUAUACUUGCUUUCCCUCUCACUCUAAGCUUCCACUUGCUCCAUCAAUGAAGUCACCAAUAAGCUUCAGUUUCAGACACGGGUCAACUAGGGUGCGCGAAGCAAACUCAGUGCCGAGUUUAUCUCCCAUGACUCACCGGCACCCACCAUCAAACUAUGCUUUUGUGGAAGAAGACCCUUCAUUGAAGCUGCAACAUUGGGAGUUUACCUUGUUUCCUGUUCAAUCUUCCGUAGCCACAAACUCAUAUUAUGAUUACACGGUAUUUGGUCUUUUGCCACCCAGAUAGCAGAAACAUAAAAUAUUAGAACUUGGGUUCAAAUUCUAGCGAAAGAUUAAGCUUUUUUUGACAUAAUUUGAAAAGAAGAGAUUUUUUUUUUAAUUUUGCUUUGUUUUUGUUUUUGUUUUUGUAGGCUAUGAAAGAGGUGGGAGGAGAAAAAAGAAUCUUAAAUUUGAGGAACGGAUCUCAAAAGUUUGGGGGGUGGGAGGUUUUGAAUAGAAUAAAAGAGAAGAAAAACGAAUCUCAGAUUUAAGGAACGGAUCUCAAAAGUUUGGGGGUUGGAGGUUUUGAAUAGAGUAAAAGUGAAGUAGGGUUAAGUUAAGGGUAAAAUAAUAUUAAAAUUAAAAAAAGUAAAAAGGUUAAAAAAGUAAAAAAAAAAAAUAAUUUGUAAUUAAAAUAAAAUUCAAAAAGAUUGGGGAGGUGGAGGAAACAAAUGGGGAGGUGGAGGAAUCAACACCCGGAGACGCUGCUGUUGUGCACAAACCAAGUCAGGAAUUGGACCAGCGCUGUUGAAAGAGUGGGCUGAAAGGAAUGGGCUGAAGCUGAGUCUUGGUGAUUUAAUGAAACGCAACGUUUUGGUGCGCACCAGCUGCAGCUGCUUGAGGGGUCUUGCAUCUCUGAUAACUCUCAGAUUUUACACUUUAAUUUGUGCUUAAGAGUCCUUGUUAGUGAAUUUUUGUUUUUAAUUGUUUAGAAUUAAGCUAGUUUUAGGUUUUUUCUUGAAUUCUUUAGUUUUGUAUAAUUUUAGUUAAAAUUAGAUUUUUAG
rnacentral:lncRNA from 1 species